CAUGGCGGACUGGGAGGGGCUCCACGAGGACUUCUCCUGCUGCUCGUCCCGCGCCUCCCCUCCCUCGACCUCCGCAGCUUUCGCGCCGUCUGCGCCUCCUGGCGCGCCGCGGUCGCCACCUUCGCCUCGGCCGGCGGCCGCCACCUCCAGCCGCCGCCGCCUCAUCUGGAUCUCGCGCCCCCAGCCGCCGCAUGGAUCCAGAUCGACGACCGCCGCCUUCAUCUAUGAGGUUGCCGCCCUUCAUGCGGCCGUCGGGAUGCUGCCUGCCUCGAGCAAGGAAGUGGCGCCCUCCUGCAGCUGUUGUCGUUCUGCCUUCAGUUGCAUCUCGAGCGUAUGUCUCUUCCCCGUGGACGUGCACGAGUCUCUUCCCGGAGCAGUUGGUAGCGUGCAUGCUGCUCUGCGUGCUCCUCUGUCUACUUCCGCAUGCACGCCAUGCUGCCCGCUGAUGCUAGCUACCACUUGCUACAACGUGGUGUAACGUUCUGCUGCUACUGGCAUGCUACUCCAUCUACUGUCGCAAGCUGGCCUUACUACGUGCUGCUGCUAGCUGCUUUCUCCUAUACUAUGUGGUGAUGUUUCCUGCUACUACGUGGUGCUCAUGUCCCCGUUGUUCCUAGUUCUUUUAGUUUCUAUAAUUCCGCUGCGUCCACCAAAUCCGUUGAUAUUUUGUGUUUUCUCAUGCCAUGCGAGUCCACCAUACCUUAGUCCGUCAGCCUUUCUCCGGUCUUGAUCCUUUCUAUGCAACUUUUGUGGCCUAUUUGCCCUUGUUGUUUUCUAUAGGAUUUUCUGGACUUCUUUUGCAUUGUCGAUCUACGUCCAUCGUGCCUUAACCGCCGAGUUUCUUUUGCUGUCGGUUGUCGUGGACUAUGAUUUUCUGCACAAUGCUUCAUUCUCUUGAUGUGGCAUCUUCUUUUGACAACCCAUCUUCUCUUGAUACUUAUGUUGUAUCUUCAAGUGAUGCGGUGUCUUCCUCUGAUGUGCCAUCUCUUCGGUGUCUUCCUCUGAUGUGUCAUCUUCUUUUGACAACCCAUCUUCUCUUGAUACUUAUCUUGUAUCUUCAAGUGAUGCGGUGUCUACCUCUGACGUGCCAUCUCUUCGUUGUCUCCUUCGGCGACUCGACAAGUUUUGAAGACUCUUCAUGCUGCGACGACACUCUCAAGACGCGGAUUUGGAUUAUCAUUUUUUUUUAGUAUUACACUUCUUCAAAUGCAAUGCUAUUGCAUACGCUUUGCAUUUGAGGGGGGUGUUAGGAAGUAUUAGUAUUAGUCUAUUAGUAUUAGUCUAGGAGUCCUUAUUAGUCUAUGUUUACUUUCCUUGCACCUCAAGUCAUGUGUAAUAUGUAUAUGCCCCUUGGGCCUUCAAUACAGAUAAGUUGCUUUCCUAACACAUAUGACAUGGAUGCCAAAUGCAUGCAAAAAUAAUAUGGAGGUGGCUGGGACUCGAACCCAGAACCUACUAGGCCUACUAGGCGAGUGCCACUCUGGCAACCAGCUGAGUUACGAUAGAACUUAUGUUAAAGCAUGGACCAUGCACUACAUGAACUAUAUACCGAUUCAUUGCCUGAACCCAACUGAAACUGAACGGAAAAGCAAAACAAAAUAUGGGCUCGUGGGAUUCGAACCCCAGACCCCAUGGAUGUAGGGUGCGUGCGCUAGCUAGCUUGGCUGGACAUGUGCUUGUGAUAUGGGUGCACGGGCGAGCUAGAUGAACCAUAACCUGUCGCUGACUGAAUAAAACUGCACGCGAAAAGCAGUGGUUGCUUCGAGCGAACCUGACAGGGCCGCCCUUGGCUGAGCCUGCGGCGAGGCAGAGGACGCGCGGGGUGGUGGCUGCUGCAGGGGAGGCCAGGCUCGGGAGCGACCGGAUCCAGCGAAUGAGGCAGAGCUCCAAGCUUAGGCGCCAUGGACGAGCUCCUUCUCGAUCCUGCGAAUGCACCAAAGAGAGAGAGAGAGAGCUGGGGGGAUAAGAGAGUGAAGAACCAGGGAGGGAGAGAAAGGAAAGGAGGGGGCGCCGGGGUCCUGCACGGCGCGCUCGCCGGCUGCUACUGGUUGCCGAAGGCGCGGAGAGGCAGGGAGGUCCGAAGGAGCUCGAGGACGCGGCCUCCUCUGUCCGAGCGCGAAGACUUGGUGGUGCGGGGGCGCUGCGGGCGGACAUGCUCCGACGGGGCCUCUGCACUCGAACGUGGAACUGCGGUCUGUUUCUGCGUCUUCCAGGCAAUGAGAGAACCAUCAAGAAAAACACAGUAAGCAGAAAGUGAACGGCAAUCUGAAGGAUCACUAGCCCACGUAGCAUCCGAAUAGGCCUGAAGCUGUAAAGAACUAGAGCGAGGAAAGAAUAGACGGUGAGAGAUCGUGCCCCUAAGAUAUCGGAGAACACGAAGGAGGUGACUAGUGAACCGAGGUGGUAGCAGAGACAAACUGACUCAGAAUAUGAAUCGGAUAAGAGAUAUCUGGACGAGUGACAACUAGAUAGACAAGACUACCAACAAGAAGACGAUAACGCGUCGGGUCAGGCAGGGGGUCACCAUCAGUAUCACGGAGGUCAACAGUGAGCUCCAUGGGAGUCUCAACAAUGCGCUCGUCAGUAAGAGCAACACGAGCAAGAAGAUCCUGGGUAUACUUUUUCUGGGAUAUAAAAAAGCCAUCAGAGGUAGAAGAGACUUUAAUCCCAAGAAAAUAGCGAAGAGGUCCAAGAUCAGACAUAAGAAACUGCUCACUAAGACGGGCCUUUACAAAGGCAAUAUACUCGGGGUCAUCACCAGUGAUGAUCAUGUCAUCAACAUAGAGAAGAAGAAGAAUCCGACCACGAGGAGAAAGGUGGACAAACAAUGCUGGAUCAUGAGUACUGGCUGAAAAACCAGCGACGGUUACUACAGAGGCAAAACGCUCAAACCAGACGCGGGGGGGCUUGCUUAAGGCCAUAGAGAGAGCGACGAAGACGACAUACCAUGCCAUCAGGAACAGAAUACCCAGGUGGUGGCUGCAUGUGCACCUCCUCACACAACUCACCAUUAGGAAAGACAUUCUUAACAUCAAGCUGAGAUACAGACCAGUGGCGUGCAGAGGCCACGGGAAGAAGUGUCCGAAUAGUGGUCAUAUGGGCCACAGGAGCAAAAGUCUCGUCAUAAUCACGACCAUGCUCCCGCUGAAAACCACGAGCCACAAGACGAGCUUUAUAACGCUCAAGAGAACCAUCGGAGCGAGUCUUAACCUUGUAGACCCACUUACAAGUGAUGGGACGGACACCGGGGGGAAGGGAAACAAGAUCCCAUGUACCAGUGCGUUCAAGAGCAGCAAUCUCCUCUGCCAUCGCAAACUGCCAUUCAGGAUGAACAGCAACCUGACGAUAGGAAGUCGGCUCAAGAACAGCAGGACCAGCGGUGGGAAAUCCAAGGCGAUCAACAGGCGGACGAGGACGAGAACGCAAGCCAUAGGUAGGCUGAGACGAGGAUGACGACACAUCCACAUGACGUGAACGACGAGUGUAACACUGAGGAAAAGAUGGAACAAUGCAAGGAGGGAUCGCCAAGGUAGAAUCGAGGGGUGAAGACGAAGAAGUCACCAGAGAUGAAGGUGCAGAAUCCGGUGACAUGCGAGGGGAGGAAACCGUGGGAGAUGGUGGUGGCAAAUCGGCAAGAGGUGGAGAAGCAGAGGCAGCGGAACGAAUAGACAAAGGCUUGAUGGGGGUGAUAGGUGUGUCAGGAAAAGUGAGGAAGGAGAUAUCCUCCACUGAAAAGGUCGAGGAAGAUGGACACAGGUAGAAGGGACGAGACUCAUCAAAAGUCACAUCCCGAGAGAUACGCAUCCGAUGACCGAUGGGAUCCCAACAACGAUAGCCCUUAUGCUCAUCACUAUAGCCUAAGAAGACACACUCAACAUGCUGAGCGGUCAGUUUGGUGGAUUCUCGAGGGGCAAGAAGAACAUAGCAAACACAACCAAACAAGCGAAGCAUUGAAUAAUCAGGAGAACGAUCAAAAAGACGCUCGAAAGGAACACCACCCUGUAGAGGAGCAAAAGGUUGUAGAUUGAUGAGAUAGGUGGAGGUGGAGACGGCCUCAGCCCAAAAAUGAGGCGGGAGAGAGGCAGCAAUCAUCAAUGCACGAGCCGUCUCAAGAAGGUGACGAUCCUUGCGCUCAGCCACGCCAUUCUGAGCGUGAGCACCAGGACAAGAGAAUUGAGAAAGAGUCCCUUGCUCAGCAAGAACAACACGCAACAUCUUAGAAAUAUACUCGCCAGCGGAGUCAGCACGAAACACACGAAUGGGCGAAGAGAACUGAGUGUGAACCAUAGCGGCAAAACGCUUAUAAAUAGACAACACCGCACUACGAGAAGUCAUAAAAUAAAGCCAUGUGUAACGGGAGAAAUCAUCUAUGAAAAUAAUAUAGUAGUGAUGACCCCCUUUCGAAGUGAAGGGAGCCGGACCCCAUACAUCAGAAUGGACUAAAUCAAAAGGACGCUUAGACACUGACUCACUAUGUGAAUAUGGUAACUGAAUCUGUUUGCCAAGACGACAACCCUGACAUUCUAAAGAGACAUCUCCUGAGACAGACCCCAGAAGACCUCGACGAACUAAAGACGACAAACGAGAACCACAAAGAUGACCAAGUCGAUGAUGCAUUGCUGGAAGGAACCGGUAGCGGAGGCGACCGAAGCGGAGGAACUGGCGAUAGUGGUGGCAGCGGAAGGAACAUGAAGCCAGUCUAACUCCCAAAGACCCUGAGAAUCACGGCGGCGAGGGCCAGCCCCAACCAGAGUGUGCGUGCGACGGUCCUGGACAGAACAAGAGUCGACGUCAAGGAUGACGCGACAACCAAAAUCAGUAAGUUGACCAGCAGAAAACAGAUUCAUGGCAAGUCGAGGAACAUGAGCAACAUCAGGGACAGAAUAAGGAGUGGUAAGAUUGCCUCUACUAGCAACAAAAAGAGGAGUACCAUCAGCAGUGAGGACAUGAACAAGAAAUCAAGCGAACGAAGAGAGGACAAAGUGGAAGAAUGAGAAGACAUAUGAAAAGAAGCUCCAAACUCCAGAACCCAUGGGGAUGUACCUGACUGUGUAGAAGGUGGUUGCUCAGUGCGGGAAGCAUCAGUCACAGAACCAGCAGUACCUGUCGAGGAAGAACCUAAAGUAGCGAGCAUACGCUUAAGUCUCAGAAUAUCAUGCUCAGUCAAAGCGGUGGCUGAAGAUGUCGAGGUAGUAAACGAAGUCCCUGAAGAUGAUGAUCGCGCCUUACGCAGGUGUUUCCUCUUCUGGAAGCACUGAGACUCGACAUGACCAUCCAGGUUGCAGUAGCCGCAGUGUGGAUGGGGGCGGCCCGAGCCGCCAGGAGGAGUGGGCAAGAGUGCCGGAGCACUCGAGCGAGGAGUCGGUGCAGCAUGUGGCGUAGUGGGAGGUCGAGCGGCGAGCACAGAGGGAACCUCUAGUAAACCAACGCCACGUAAGCGAGUCUCCUCAGCACGAAUCUUAGAAAGCACCUCCAUGAGAGAAAUAUGGCCACGAGCAAACAACUGAGCACACCGGGGCUUAAACUCCAUACGGAGCCGAGACAAGAACUCGUAGACACGAUGAAACUCCAAAUUGGCCUGCACAGCCUGGCAACAUGGGCAAGUACGACAAUCAGCACUGCGGAGAGAAUCAAGCUGGCGCCAGAUAGCAGAACUUUGUGCAUAGAAAUCAUCAACAGUGGAGUCACCCUGCUGAAGAGCAUGCUCCCGACGGACCACAGAGAGGUAUAAGGCAUCACCAUAGGGCUCAUAGCACUGACGAAGACAGGUCCGCAUCUCAAAGUAGGAAGGCCCAAAAGCUCAGAGGCAAACUGAGGCGGAACAGUAACAGUGAGAACAGCUGCAGCACGAGCAUCAUCAUCAAGCCAUUGGGUGUAAACAGACAGAGCACCAUGAUAUGCCUGAAGAGCCUCCUCAUAAGUCAAAGCUUGCUCAUCAUAAGCACGAACAGCGGCCUCAUCAGCAAGCUUAGCUGCAUCCUUCGCAGCCUGAUUAGCAUCCGCAGGAAGAACCGGUGGCGUCGGCGGAGUGGGGGGCACAGGAGGAACCGAACGUGGCGGACAACGGACCUCGCCAAAAAGAACGCCCCAUAGACGGAUGCCACACAUGUGAAUGCGCAUGAAGCCAAUGAACUCGGUGUAGUUAGUACCAUCAAAAAUCACCGGGCAACGAGGAACAACAACAUAGCCCGAUGCAGUAGACAAUUUUUUUUGGGAAAUAUGCAACUCUCCCGUCGGCAGCAGAGAUCACGAGAACCAGUAGAGAGCAGGGGCGGGAUCACGCGAGACGACGGAGAGCAGCAACGAGCAGCAAGGGCCGGCGAGAUCCAGCAGUUGACAGAGGAGGCCGGCGGCUUUGAGUGGCAGCGGGAUCCGACGGUCUGGGGGGAGACAACCAGCAGUGCUGGAUCCGGUGGCGGGGUCCAAUUGGGAGAGACCCGACGGCGAGACAGAGGAGACCCAACGGCCGGCGGCUGGAUCCUUUACGGGAGACCGGCGGCUCGAGAUCGGGGAGAUCCAAUCGGGAGACCGGCGGCUCGAGAUCAUUACGGGACACCGGUGACCCGACGGGAUCCUUGGUUAGGAGGAGGAAGCGUAGACGGACCAGAGGAAAUACGGCGGCGACGGUGACGAGAAGAGGUUCAAGCACGAGUUGUGCGUGCUAAAAAAGACCUAGGCUCUAAGACCAUGUUAGGAAUAUGCAACUUAUAUUCCCAUGAGGCCGUAGGACGAUAUAUAUAUACAUGUAGAGGUGUGGACUAUAUGCAGGAAACCCCUUAUACAAUGGGAUAAGUACGAAGGGGUACAUGGCUAUAUUAUACUCCCUCCGUCCCAAAAUAAGUGACUUAAGCUUAGCACAAUUUUGUACUAGAGCUGGUACAAAGUUGAGACAUUUAUUUUGGGACAGAGGGAGUAUAUACUCUAACAGGAACUUCACGAAGAGAAACUCGAGAAAAACUUGGCCACCGAAAAAGAAAGAUGACGCACUUGAGAUAAAGAAUUUGACAUCAUGAGCCACUCCGGAAGAAGAAUUAAAAUCACCCUGAAGAAAAAAAGAAUAAGAAUUAUGUAGUGCAUAUCCUUCAUCAAGUUAAAUUGAUGACAAGCAACGGAUUUCGCAUACCACUUAUUCUUCUUAAAAAGACAAAAGAGCGAUAGAUAAGGCACACACUUGAAGAAUUCUUGGAAGAAACACCGGUAAGAAUUUGGAAUGAAAGAGGAUAACACAAAUGAACUGGGCUACAUGAGGACAAGGAGAGCAUGAUUCGAUUAGAGAAUGCUUGAGCAAGCCAACGGUAAGAAUUCACAAAUGAAUGGGAAUACCAUGAAUGAAUGAAGAUACAUGAGAACGAAGAGAUCAUGAUCACCUAGAAAAAUUUAGAGCAUAUGGGGAUAUUAGAAAUGGAUGGAAUACAUGAGAACGAACAGAUCUUGAGCCGUCUAACAGAAAACAUGAAUAAGUCACCGGGAUAAUUGAGAGAUGAACGAAGAGACAACAAUUGAGAAGAAUUUGAGAUCGAAAGCUGAAAGCUAAGAACGAAGGAAUCUUCUAAAAUGAUGGCCUUCGGAGGAUCGAGAAAUAAAACAACUUUGAAAUGCACCGGAUAGAUAUGGAAGGAAUUACUCAUGAGUGGAAACAAUUUGAGAGAGAGCACGAAGCUGAGAUGACAAUCUUCAAAAGAAUGGACCACAAUUUAAGAAAAACACUUCUUCGAAUUUCCGAGCUGAGAAUGAUGGCAAGAAUCACCAUGAAGAAUUACUGAGACACUCUGGAAUAAUGAAUAAGGAAAAGGUUGAGCCAAUGAUGAAAAUAAAUUUGAAGCGAACUUGAAGAAGGGCCGGGCCUUGAAGCGAAAAACAGUGGUUGCUUCGAGCGGACCUGACAGGGCCGGCCUUGGCUGAGCCCGCGGCGAGGCAGAGGAUGCGCGAGGUGGUGGCUGCUGCAGGGAGGCCAGGCUCGGGAGCGGUCGGAUCCAGCGAAUGAGGCAGAGCUCCAAGCUUAGGCGCCAUGGACGAGCUCCUUCUCGAUCCUGCGAAUGCACCAAAGAGAGAGAGAGAGAGCUGGGGGGAUAAGAGAGUGAAGAACCAGGGAGGGAGAGAAAGGAAAGGAGGGGGCACCGGGGUCCUGGACGGCGUGCUCGCCGGCUGCUACUUGUUGCCAAAGGCGCAGAGAGGCAGGGAGGUCAGAAGGAGCUCGAGGACGCGGCCUCCUCUGUCCGAGCGCGAAAACUUGGUGGUGCGGGGGCGCUGCGGGUGGACGGGCUCCGACGAGGUGGGGGUCACCGGAGGAGCUCCGGUGGAGUACCAGCGGUGUCGGACUGCACGGGGGUGCGGCUGGUGGCUUCGACUGGCAGGCCGAGGAGGCGACCAGGGGGCUAGCGGCGCUGCGGGCUGCUCGCUUCUGCGGCCUUCGCAGCGAGGAGAGGAGGGGCACAUGCGCCAUGGGGGCACGACGCCAUGGGGCUCAGGCGGCCGGAGGCCUCGGGGAGUCGAGGUCGCCAGAGGCGUGAGAGACGGGCGGAGGCGGAGCAGGGAGCUUGCCCUCCUCCGAUCCAGAUAUAUGUUGUGGUCGCCCGGACGUGUCCGGUUUGACCACAGACAUGUCCGAUAGGUGAGGAAUUGGGCGGAUCUGAGCCUUUAGAUCAGAAUCUAAUGGCUGGAAAUGGCUGGAGAGGCUAUGGCUGCGGGAUUUGGAGGUUGUGGGCUUGCAGGUGGGAUUUUCUAGGGGGUUGGCUGCAAAUUUGGCUAGGGGGAAACCCUAGUGGAGUGAGAGAGCUCUCUUCAUGGGGUGGUUCUUAUAUAGGGUUUGGUCUAUGGUGGGAUGGACCUCAUCCGUCCGAUCGCGAUCCGACGACCACGAACGGAGGGAGUGCCUAGGUGGGUCUAGUGGGCUGUGUAGUUGGGCUAUGUAGGGAUGAGAGGGAAAUGGUGCGGCCCGUGACAGAGUUUUAAAACACCGAAACAUCCGACAAUUAAACCAACUAUAGUGCCGCUAUAUAUUUAACGGUACGGGUAUCAAACGAACUCCGAUUGCGACGAAAUUUGGCAGACGGCCUACCUACAUUAAAAUAAGACCACACGCCAAGUUUCAACCCAAUCCGAGAAAGUUUUAUACACACUUUUAAAAACAAUAUUUUAUCGAUGCCGCGGGCGCGGGUGUGUGAUUGGUCUCGAAACGUUCAACGACAAAAACGGAGAGAACCGACAACUAAUAACGGAUGCGAGUUUUGAAAACUGGCGGCAACAGAAUGCCGAUGCAAUGCGGAUGCUGCGAAUGAUGCGACAAUCAAAUAAAUCACGCGACGAGAACGGAAUAAAAGGGAAAUCUUCUGGAGCGUCGGUCUCGGGCUGUUACAACAGGCCGCCGCCGCUGCAUCACUGGCUGACGCUCAAGCUUCGGCCGCCGCCGUCGGCCUUCGACUCUCCUAGGUCCGGCUGCCAUCUCCACGUUGCUCGCGGUUGGAGCGCGACAUAUGUUUUUGGUGUGCGAGGGUUGUGGGCGCUGCUUCUUGUCGAUUGACUUCCUUUCGAUAGGUUCGUUGGUCGUGGAUUGAUUAAAAAAGGUUAAGAAAAAGACAAAAGGAGCACCAUGUCUUCGACGCCAUCAAGCUAUUCGCCAUUCCGUGCUGCCCGGUGAUAUUUGAUGGGGCUAACUAUGUUGAGUUUGCUGCAUUUAUGCGCAUUCACAUGUGUAGCCUUCAUCUCUAGGAGUUCUUUCCGGCGAGGUUCCCUAUCCUCCACACCCAGUUACUCAUGUGGCUCCUACCCCACCGCCGCCUCCGUUGGUUCUUGCCACAAAUGCUUCUGAUAAUGAUAGGGCUGCAACCCGAGUUGCUGAUGAUGAUGCGGUUCCUACUUAUGACCAGCAAGUCGUGUUUUAUUCGGAUGCUCUUUCCGUAAUGAUCUGGCUGCUUACACUCAGCGGUGUGAUGAUGGUGCUCGUGCUGCGGUUGUCCUCACUUCCAGGGUUCUAUCACAGUUUGUUUCUGAGUUUAUGGCCUUAGUACUAUCUUUGAGAUGUGAACUCAUCUUCGCCAGCGCUACCAGUCCUGUGGUGAUGCUCUCUACUUGUUUGUGGUAUGUCAGGAGCAUGCUCUUGGAUAAGGAGAUUCCACUAUUGAUGAGUUCUACAGAGAGUUUUCCUAUCGGCGUCAGCUUGACUAUCUUUGCAUUGCUGUUUGUGGCACUUGCGCGUGUUGCCAGACUGUGAGGUUCGACUUGGAGUUUCAGCGUCUCUAUGAGUUCAUGUCGUGUCUUUGUGGGGAGUUUGAGCCUCUACGUGCUCAAUUGUUUGCUCGCGGCCGUGUUCCUAUUUUCGAGGUGCUUUCUGAGCUUCGUGUUGAGGAGACUCGCCUCCGUGGUGCUGGGUCGCUUCAGGUUUCCUUUGUGCUUGCUGCUCGAGUUGCUCCACCAGUGCUUUCUCACUCAGUGCUCCGCCGCUACUGUCCACUCCUUCUGGUAGUGAGGGCCGUUCUUGUGAGGGCCGGUCUUGUCCUCGUACUCAUUGCGGCUACUGCAGCAGGCAUGGUCACCCCGAGUCUGGGUGCUUCCAGAAGAAACGUGAUAUGCGUAAUAGGGAGCACAAUUCUUCUUCUGGAUCUCGUGUUUGUUCCUCGAUGUUGUCUACUAUCUCCUUGAUUGAGCAAGAUAUUGCGAGGCUUAAGCGUCUACUUGCUGCUUCAGGUUCUUCAACAGGUACUGCAAGCUCUGCGACUGGCGCUUCUAGUGUUGAGCGACUACCGUCUACACAGUCACGUACAUCCCAAUGGGUUCUGGAUUCUGGAUUCUGGAGCUUCAUUUCAUAUAUCUUCUGAUUCUUCUGUCUUGUCCUCUCUUAGAUCUCUUGCUUUUCCUAUUAAUGUUCUUAUUGCUGAUGGUACUUCUCUCCCUGUUGCUAGUCGAGGCACUCUUUCCACUUCUUCCUUUUAUGUUCCAGAUGUUUCUCAUGUUCCCCGCCUUACCAUGAACCUAUUUUCCGUGAGUCAACUUACUGAUUUUGGUUGUUGUGUCAUUCUUGAUGCUAAUUCUUGCACUAUUCAGGAUCGCCGCACGAAGGCUCUGGUUGGGGUUGGCCCUCGCCGCCAUGAUUCUCAGGGGCUUUGGGAGUUAGACUGGUUUCAUGUUCCUUCUACAGCCACCACACUUCCCUGUCGAUCUACUUUCGUCGCUUCAGCUACCAGCUCCUUCCAACAGUGGCAUCAUCGACUUGGUCACCUUUGUGGUUCUCGACUAUCGUCUUUAGUUCGUCGUGGUCUUCUAGGACCUGUCUCAGGAGAUGUGUCCUUGCAGUGUUAGGGUUGUAGGCUUGGUAAACAAGUUCAGUUACCUUAUCCUACUAGCGAAUCAGUGUCUCAUCGACCCUUUAAUUUGGUACAUUUCGAUAUGUGGGGUCUGGCUCCCAUCGCUUCCAAAGGGGGUCAUAGAUGCUAUAUUAUUUUUAUAGAUGAUUUUCUCGCUACACUUGGCUUUACUAUGUCCUCUCGUAGUGAGGUUCUCUCUAUUUAUAAGUGUUUUCCUGUCAUGGUUCACACCCAGUUCUCUACACCUAUUCGUGUGUUCCAUGUUGAUUCUGCUGGUGAGUAUAUCUCCAAAUGUUAGCGCGGUUUUCUUGCUGAGCAGGGUACUAUUGCUCAAUUCUCUUGUCCUGGAGCUCACGCUUGAAAUGGUGUGGCUGAGCGCAAACAUCGUCACCUUCUUGAGAUAGAUCGUUCAAUGGUGAUUAUCGCCUCUCUUCCGCCUCGUUUUUGGGCCAAGGUUGUCUCUGCUGGGUGGUAUUCCUCUAGAACGACUUUCUGACCGUUCUUUUGCUUAUUCGCUGCUAAGGUUUGCUAUGUUCUCCUUGCCCCCACCCCCCGGAACGCACCAAACUGGCUGCUUAGUCUGCCGAAUGUGUUUUUCUAGGUUAUAAUGAUGAGCAUAAGGGUUAUCAGUGUUGGGAUCCAGUCGGUCAUCGGAUGCAUAUUUCCCGGGAUGUGACUUCUGAUGAGUCUCAUCAAUUCUACCCGCGACCAUCCUCAACUUUUUCAGUAGAGGAUAUCUCUUUUCCCACGUUUCCUGAUACACCUCUCUCUAUGUGCCUCGUAUUCCUACUCCUUCUCGCCCCACUAUUACAGAUCCGAUGCCAUCUUCUCCUACGGUUUCUUCUCCUCCCUUGUUGCAUGACUCCCCACGUUCAUCACUGAUGCCUUCCCCAUCUCCAUCACUUCCGAUGGUUUCUUCUUGUCCCACUUUUCAUUUUGAUUAUACCCAUCGUACAUGUUGUGGAUGAAUCUACCGACAUGCCAUCUACUUCUGGUGCACCGUCUUCCUUGUCCCAGCUGACUUAUGGUCUUUGGGCUCGACCUUGCCCUCGUCCUGAGCGCUAUUCUCCUAGUCGAUAUGGUCUUUCGGCUACUUGAGCCUACCUCUUAUCACAAUGUUCUUGUUCAUCCUAAAUGGCAGCUUGCGACGGCAGAGGAGAUUGAUGCACUUAAGCGCACUGGCAUGUGGGUUUCGUUUCUCUUCCUUCCCAUGUCCGUUCUCUUGAGCGUUAUAAAGCUCGUCUUGUGGCUCGUGGCUUUCAGCAGGACCAUGUUUGUGAUUACGGAGACAUUUGCUCCCGUGGCCCAUAUGACCACUGUCUACACACUUCUCGCCAUGGCCUCUGUUCGACAUUGAUCUGUUUCUCAACUUGAUGUUAGGAGUGCCUUUGAUAAUGAUUAGUUGCGUGAGGAGGUUUAUAUGCAGCCAUCACGUGGGUAUUCAGUUCUUGAUGGCAUGGUUUCUCAUCUUCGUAUCUCUCUCUCUAUGCCUUAAGCAAGCGCCCCCCUCCCCCCUCCCCCCCGCGCACGCUCUUGGUUUGAGCUUUUUGCCUUUGUGGUCACUGUUGCUGGUUUUUCGCCGAGUGCUCAUGAUCCAACGUUGUUUGUCCACCUUUCUGCUCGUGGUCGCACUCUUCUUCUUCUAUAUGUUGAUGACAUUAUCAUCAUUGACGACUAUUCUGAGUACAUUGUUGUUGUCAAGGCCCAGUUCCUUAUGUCCGAUCUUGGUCCUCUUCGUUACUUUCUUGGGAUUGAGGUUUCCUUCACUUUUGAUGCCUUUUUUAUUUCCCAAGAAAAGUAUAUCCAGGAUCUUCUUACUUGUGCGGCUCUUAGCGAUGAGCACACUGUCGAGACUCCUAUGGAGCUCAAUGUUCACCUUCGUGCUUCUGAUGGUGAGUCCUUGUCUGAUCCGACGCGUUAUCGUCUUCUUGUUGGGAGUCUUGUGUAUCUUGACGUCACUUGUCCGGAUAUCUCUUAUCUUGUCCAUAUUCUGAGUCAGUUUGUUUCUGUUCCCACUUUAGUUCACUAUAGUCCCCUUCUUCGUGUUCUACAAUAUCUUCGUGGCACGAUCUCUCAUGUGUCUUUUUCCCCAUUCCAGCUUAUUACAACUCCAGGCCUAUUCGGAUGCUAUGUGGGCUAGUGAUCCUACGGAUCGCUGUUCACUUUUUGCCUAGUGUGUCUUUCUUGGUGGUUCUCUCAUUGCNCUUAAAUAACUUUCCAAACAUUGAUUGACUCUUUCAGUUUGGCCAUCAGACUGUGGGUGGUAACUGUUUUUAGAGUUAUAUUAGUGAUUUCCUUUGGCCUUUUGCAUUCUAGUCUAUAUAUGUUGGUUUUGGCCUCUCAUAAUAUUAAGUUGUUCAUCCUCAACAACUGGUACUUAAGUGCAGCUUGAUCUUGAGGGGUUUGAAUAGUUGGUGCCACAGCUUGCUUGUAAAAAAUCACAGACGCCGCAGCUAGAUCUAACCGCUCUCGCCGCUGCCUAGCCAGAUCUGGGCUAGACGCUGUCAGUACCAACAUGGCCCUGACAUCGUGGAUCGCCAAGACAGAGGAAAAAGACUAAGUCAGCUAGUAGCUGAAGGUGGGCCAGCGUUUCUCAUCUGGCAGGUGGGCCUGGUUGUGGCGUAGCUAGCAUGCGGUGGCUGAGGCCAGCUGUACCCUGGGUGUUAUAUUCUGGAAAGGUGGCGUUGUAAUGGGCAUGAAAGAAAUGAAAUAGAAAAACUCUGAUUUCCUGGCCUAUCUUCUUCCUCCCCAAGGUUCCUUCUACCUCACCUACCUGAUCUGCAGGAUCUCUUCGAUCCAGGGUCAUCACAGUUGGUAUUCAGAGCGAGGUUCGAUCCGGGUGCGCUUACUCCCUCCCGAUCUAGCGGUAAGAUCCUGCGGAAGGUUGCGGAUCGCUCUCGGGCUUGAUCUGCGUAAUUCCAAAAGUGGGUUCGCUGGUUAGGAAGGGCAGUCGCGACGGCGCCGGCCAAACCCAGUGCGCAGGCGAGGCAAGUGCUCUCCGCGAUGGAGGCUUUCGAGGAGCGGAUCAUGAAGGAGCUCGAAUCGCUCAAAUUCGUCAGUGACAAGGUGGAGGGGAUCGACGCGAUCUCGGCUAGGCUAGAAGUUUUGGAUAGGCGGAUGGAAGAGCAGACAGGGCGUAUCGAUGCGGUGCAAGCCAAGGUGGAUCUCACCAUGAAUUCCCUGGCGGACGUGAGGCAGGACCAAGUGGCUGCUGCACGGGUGGCCAAGUCUGCUGAAAUUCCUAGCUCACCAGGGGCUGCGGGGCAGGAAGGGAUCAUUCAGUCACCACCAUGUCGUCCCCCUCCUCCACCCUUACAGAUUCCACGACCGCUGCGUAUCAGUAUCAGCCCGACACGGCUCGAGGAGGAGAGAUGCAGUCUUUACUCGCCGCAGCUGGCUUCCCAAGAUGAAUUUCCCCAAAUUUGAUGGUAAGGAUGUCCGAAUCUGGUUAGAUGGGUGUGAUGCCUUCUUUGCUUUGUAUGACAUUCCCGAGAAUUUCAAAGUCACUUCAGCAACUCUACAUUUGGAGGGUGAUGCAGCUCAUUGGUAUCAUGCAUACAAACUGUCAGUAGGCUGGGUGGAUUGGAUGAGUUUCAGAGAAGCUGUGCUUGCCGAAUUUGAUGUGAAUGUGCAUAGAGAAACAAUGAAGGCCCUACUUCUUCUGAAACAGAAGGGAACGGUGGAGGAUUACGAAAGGGAGUUCCUCCAAUUGGUGUAUCAGCUCAAGCUGUAUGAGCCGGCAGUCAGUGAGACCUUCUUGGUAACCAGAUUUUUGUUAGGGAUGAAGGAGGAACUCAAGGGGGCUGUGGAGAUACAAUUUCCCUUAUCCAUCUCUGCUGCAGCAGCUUUUGCAACAGUGCAAGAAGCCACAUUGGCUUGACAAAAGAACAACAAGUUUCCGUCGAAAACAACCUACAGCAAGCCAGAGAACAGACUGCACACUGGAUCUGGGGAAUUGUGGAAGGCCAGGCAGUUGAAAGAGUACAGGAGGGCAAAUGGAUUAUGUUUUGGAUGUGGAGAAAAAUUUGCUCCAGGGCAUGUGUGUGUGCAAAAGCCAGCUGGUCCAGCACAAGCUUUGGCCAUCACCACAGAUACCCAAGACAAUGCCCAGAUAGCUGAUAACAUUUUAGAUGCCCUAGCUGUGCAAGAAGCAAUUGAAGAGGAACUGUUGCUGUCUGUUAAUGCCUUGUCAGGAGCUGAGCACCCCAAAACAAUCAGAUUCAGAGCUCUGGUGGGUAACCAAGUUGUGUUGACCCUGUUGGAUUCUGGCAGUACCCAUAGUUUUAUUGAUUCAGCUGUGGUACCUAGAAUAGCAGCACAGACCACUCAGUUACCCAGCCCUUUAUCUGUCAAGGUGGCUAAUGGGGAAACUCUUGCCUGUUCAUCUGAAGUUCCUGCUCUGACUUGGUGGUUACAGGGCAAUACCUUUACUUAUCAUGCUAAAGUUGUGGAGUUGGGUGGAUAUGACAUUAUUUUGGGCAUUGAUUGGUUGGAGCAGUGGGGUCCCAUGACCUGCCAUUGGAAGAAAAAGUGGAUUGAGUUCCAGUUCCAGGAAAAGAUGGUCAGACUACAGGGCAUUCAAACUACUCAACAGUCUGAACUGAAGGAAAUGUCUGUGGAUCAGGUUGUCAAAUGUUACAAAGGAAUGACAUAUGGGCCACUGCCAUUCUGUUUCCACAAGAUAAGAACCAACCAGAAGAGCCUCCUGCCGACGUUCAGCAGUUGUUGCAAUCCUUCUCUGAUGUGUUCCAAGAACCCACAGGCCUGCCUCCUGUCAGAGCCCUAGGCCAUGCUAUACACCUUAUUCCAGGAGCCACCCCUGUAAACUGCAGACCUUAUCGAUACUCUCCUCUGCAAAAGGAUGAGAUUGAGAAGCAGGUGAGCAAAAUGCUCGCUGAAGGGUUGAUCACACCUAGCAUGAGUCCCUUUGCUUCUCCGGUUCUGUUAGUAAAGAAGAAGGAUGGGUCAUGGAGGUUUUGUGUCGAUUACAGGAAGCUCAAUGACAUCACUAUUAAGAACAAGUUUCCUCUGCCCAUUGUUGAUGAGUUACUUGAUGAGCUGGCAGGAACUGCUUUUUUCUCCAAGCUUGAUCUAAGGUCCGGGUAUCAUCAAAUCCGGUUGGUUGAGCAGGAUGAAUACAAAACAUCUUUCAAAACUCACAAUGGCCAUUAUCAAUUUAAGGUGAUGCCGUUUGGACUGGCCACAGCUCCAGGUACCUUCCAGUGUGUCAUGAACUUCAUUCUGGCCCCUCACAACAGAAAGUUUGUCUUGGUUUUCAUGGAUGACAUACUGGUCUUUAGUAAAAGCUGGCUGGAACACCUGGAACAUUUGUCCAUUAUGCUAUCUACUCUCAGGGAGCAUCAGCUGUAUGCAAACUUAUCCAAGUGCUCAUUUGCUCAAACCAAGCUGGAAUACUUGGGGCACAUCAUCUCAAACAAAGGGGUGGCAACUGACCCGGCAAAAACUGAAGCAAUGGUGGCUUGGCCCGUGCCCACCAACCUCACUGAACUAAGGGGAUUUCUGGGGCUAACUGGGUACUACCGGAAGUUCGUCAAAGGGUAUGAAAUUUUGGCAAAGCCUCUUACUGCACUGUUGCAAAAGAAAACAUUUCAAUGGACUGCAGAAGCACAAGUGGCAUUUGAAGUGUUAAAGGAAGCCAUGAUCAACACACCAGUUCUCGCCUUACCUGAUUUCUCUCGGCAAUUUACAGUGAAGACUGACGCUUGUGCUACUGGCAUUGGUGCGGUGCUCAGUCAGGAGGGUCACCCUGUAGCCUAUUACAACAAAGCUCUAAGCGUGGCCAACCAGCAACUUUCCAUAUAUGAAAAGGAAUUCCUUGCUGUGAUUAUGGCCGUGGAUAAGUGGAGGCAGUAUUUGAACAGAGGUUUAUUUAUAAUCAAAACAGACCAUCAGAGCUUGGCACAUCUCAAUGACCAGGCCUUAACUACUGAUCUGCAAAGGAAAGCGAUGCACAAGCUGGUGGGACUUGAGUUCAAGAUCCAGUACAAGAAAGGAGUGGACAAUGGGGCUGCGGAUACCCUAUCUAGGGUGGGUCAUUUGUUGACAACUCAGAUUGUCUCUCAAGCCCAACCACUAUGGCUUCAAGAGGUCCUAAAUUCUUAUGAGGUGGAUCCUGAAGCCCAAACACUUCUUCAAAAGCUUGCCCUGUCCACUGAACCUGUGGACGGAUUUUCCCUGCAAAAAGGAGUUAUCACCCCGGCAGGCAGGAUUUGGAUUGGGGCCAAUGCGGCAUUAAAAACUAGGAUCAUUGCUUCUUUCCAUGACAGUGCUAUUGGGGGUCAUUCUGGGGCGCAAGCAACCUAUCAGAGGAUUAAAAAGUUGUUCUGCUGGGUGGUACUAAAACAGGAGGUGAUGAGCUUUAUUCAACAAUGCUCUGUAAGCUAAACAUGAACAUUGUAAAACUCCUGGACUCCUGCAACCCUUGCCUAUCCCUACUAAACCCUGGGUGGAUAUUUCCAUGGACUUCAUCGAAGGGCUGCCAAGGUCAGAAGGGUACAAUGCUAUAUUGGUGAUUGUGGACAGGUUCACCAAGUACAGUCACUUUAUACCUCUCAAGCACCCCUUUACAGCUCCAAUGGUGGCUAAAGCUUUUCUGAGCCAGGUGGUCAAGCUGCUUGGACCUCCUCUGACUAUUGUGUCCGACAGAGACAAAAAUUUCACGAGCUCCUUCUGGAAAGAAUUGUUCAAACUAUGGAAUAUCAAGUUGCUCAUGAGUACGGCUUACCACCCUCAGACGGAUGGUCAGACCGAGAGGGUAAACCAAUGUUUAGAGAUGUAUCUCAGAUGUUCCACUCAUCAGUGUCCUACUAACUGGCAUGCUUGGAUUCCUCUGGCUGACUUUUGGUAUAACACAAGUUACCACACAUCCUUGGGGUGCUCACCUUACAAGGCCCUGUAUGGUCACGAGCCCAACUAUGGCACCUUUUUGGCUGAAUUAUCUUCAGAGAACUCAGAUGUCCAACAGUGGAUUGCCGAGAACAACAGUCGCCAGGAGGAACUGAAAGAGCAAUUGAGUAAAGCUCAAACGAGAAUCAAACACUAUGCAGAUCAGAAAAGGAGUGAAAGGUCCUUCUCUGUGGGUGACAAGGCCUACCUGAAGCUCCAAGCUUACGCGCAACACUCUGUGGCAAACAGGCCCUACCCAAAAUUAGCCAUGAAGUUCUUUGGGCCUUUCCAAAUCCUGGAGAAAAUUGGACAGGCAGCCUACAAGCUUGAGUUGCCUGAUAACGCCAUGAUACAUCCGGUGUUUCAUGUAUCCCAGUUAAAAGAACAUGUCCCGGAUCAUACGCCUGUUUUUUCCACCCUGCCCUCACAAGUGGAUAUGUCUGCAGCAGACUUGGUACCAGCAAAUUUUUUGGACAGAAGGUUGGUGAAGAAGGGCAGCAGAGCUCACUUGCAGGUGCUCAUCCAGUGGUCCACCCUGUCUGACUUGGAAGCAACUUGGGAAGAAUACGAUACUCUCAGGCUAAGGUAUCCCGACGCACCAGCAUGGGGACAAGCUGGAUCUCAAGGGGAGGAACCUGUCAGUACCAACAUGGCCCUGACAUCGUGGAUCGCCAAGACAGAGGAGAAAGACUAAGUCAGCUAGUAGCUGGAGGUGGGCCAGCGUUUCUCAUCUGGCAGGUGGGCCCGGUUGUGGCGUAGCUAGCAUGCGGUGGCUGAGGCCAGCUGUACACUGGGUGUUAUAUUCUGGAGGGGUGGCGUUGUAAUGGGCAUGAAAGAAAUGAAAUAGAAAAACUCUGAUUUCCUGGCCUAUCUUCUUUCUCCCCAAGCUUCCUUCUACCUCACCUACCUGAUCUGCAGGAUCUCUUCGAUCCAGGGUCAUCACAGACGCUCGCGCCUCGCACCAUCACUGGCUGAGCCGGGGACCAUGUAGCAGUCAGUAGCGGCAAGAACCUCGUCGCCCCAGAGGGAAGGCCAUGCUGCAGGGGCGUAGUCCCUAGCGUUCUCUGAGAGCAUGCGUCGCAGGCGACGAGACAUCGUGACCACGUCGUCCAGCUGUUGCGCACAACACAUCAUCGUGGUCACCGAGAGUGCUGGAACGCCGCCAAGGUCGCGCGCCGUGCGGCGAGAGCCUGCCAAGUUGGACAACCGCCGCCCUUCACCGCGAGAUAUGUGCUACAGAGCCCCCCACGCAUCAAGAAGCUAAUCCCGCUUCUGCCAACGGGUUUUGCCCGGUGGUGACAACGGAAGGAGGGGGGCGACUACACAGUGGCUAGGUGAUGUAGGGUGGAACCCUAUAUUUGAGAUCUUAUCACACUUGGAGGUGGGGAGAAGGAUGGAAUCAGGAAGAAACACAAGAGGAAGAACACUCAAAGAUAAGAACUAGUCACACAUUCACUAAAUCCACAGUUCUCAUACAAAUUCAUGUAUCCAAAGUCAACUAGAGGAAAUAGGAAAAGGUAGUUCUUCCCAAUCCGUAGAGGAAUUGAGGCCUUGAGAGGUAGUCUUCUCCAAUCCCUAGGGGAGGAGGCCUUGAUAUCCACUCGGGGAUCUUCUCCUGGGAGGUCUUGAUCUCCAAGAGGGGUAAUAGAUGAGCAAUGCUCUCUCAAGAUCAAAUAAUAUGCUUUGCUAACCCUAAUAGAGAGGAGGGGUUGUCUAUUUAUAGUCUAGGAUGAGAUAGAGGGGUAAGAGAGGGUUACAUAGCCACUUGGGCCGAAUUGCACGCAGGCAAGGCCGGACGAUCCGGGUAGGUACCCGGAAGAUUCGGGCAUCGAUCGGAUGAUCCAAGUAGCUACCCGGAUUGUCCGGCAGGGUUGUAACCACAGAUGGGAGGCCGGACGUUUGGACGUUGCUGGAUGUCCGGACAUCUUCCGAAUGAUUCAGGCAGGUUCCCGGAUGAUCCGGAUUCGGGCUCGGCCUUCGGGUGCCUCUGGGUCGUGUAGCCGGAUCAUCCGAACAGGAGUCCGGAUCGUUCGGGAAGGAGUUCGGACGUCCAGGCAUGUGCAUGAUUUGCCCAACUUGUUCUUCUUCAUGUUUGGCUUCCGUCAAUGCUUGGCCUUGGUCCUUAGCUUCUCCAUGGCUGUUUCCUUGGUAUGUGAGCAUGCAAAGUGUUUUCGUUUGAGGUAGUAGCCACGUCCCAAGUGCAUCGAAGUGGAAAUCACUAAGGAGAGAACUCACUUUGGUCUUGAUAGCUCUUGCACGUGCUCUUGUCAUCGGUCCACUUGGUGCUUGGAGAGUUGGUGUAGUGUCCAUGGCCCAUGGGGAUGACAGAGUUCCUGCCAGAGCUGUCCUGGGAGAUAACGUGGGGUUCUCGCCAAAUAAGUGACGAUUUAUCAGUGUGCACCAUGUUAAAAUUUCUGUACCUGUAAAAAAAUGGUGCGGGUUUACUUGGUCAUACUUUUGCAUGAUUGUUUGUGUGUGCUGAUGUUAUAGCAUGAUGUGUGUUUCUGCAAUUACGAUUGUUUCUAGUUAAGGAAAAAAGCAAAUGUACAUGGAUGCUCCACCUCCAUAUUGCCUUGUUUACCGAUUUGUUUACAUAUGGUAUCCCUUGUGUAUAAAACGGAAAUGGUGCUGCAUAUUGCCUUGUUCACAAGCCGGACAUAUUGGUACAUGCCUGGUUGUGACAUAGUAUCAACUUGUAUUUAUCCUACUUUGCUGCUGAAGGUUCGUGCGAGAGCAUUAAUGUACUUCAAUCAUAGUGGCUACAAACUUCAGCACCAUCCUUUGACACAUCUAUCAGAUAUCCUGAUGAUCGAGGUAUUAAACUGGAACAUCCGAUUUCUUACUGCAGCUGAACAUUUAUUUUUAUGCCAUGCAGCUGAAUACUGUGGUACUCCCUCCGUUUCUAAAUAUAAGUCUUUUAAAAGAUUUCACUAGUGGUCUAUAUACGGAGCAAAAUGAGUGAAUCUAUAUUCUAAAGUAUGUCUAUAUACAUCCGUAUGUAAUCCACUAGUGAAAUCUCUAAAAAGACUUAUAUUUAAGAACGGAGGGAGUAUUUAGAAAAACACCGAAGAAAUACUCCUACCAUGAACUGACCAUUGAAGCUUAUUGCCUUCCUUUAGGAGUUGGAGCUGGAAGAUCUCUGUAGAGUAUGUGGGCUUGAAAUUAGCAGAAGCGGGGAUACUAAAGCAUUUGCUCCCAAACAAACAACCUUCAGCCUACCAACGCUAUUAUCUAAAAGUAGUGGCAUUUACAUCUCGAGGGAGAUCGAAAGAUGAUAAGAGCAUUUUUAUGUUGAAAAAAUCUAAUCUGUAACGUGCGCACCGCUGCGUUUAUGCGGCGGGUCUCCACCCACGUCUGAUUUAUUUUGUUUCUUUUAUUUUCUGAAGCCACUCGUCGGACUUCUUAUAGGCGAGUGAUUAGGUGGUGUGACCAUUUCUAUCAUACAGUGCUACAGUACCCAGCGACAGCAGUGCACGACAUGGUUUGGUACAGUAUGAUGAUUCGGUUUCCGCUGUAGUCCAAAGUACACCACGGCAGUAAAGUUUGCAUGUUAACGCUAGUGGGACUCUCUCUCUCUCUCUAAUGGAACCUUUGAUAGACGAGCACAAAUCUUUUUCAAGCGUCUUAGAGAGCAACUCCAACACAACUGUCCGUUUGGAUCACCACGAAUAAAAAUGAAGGUUCAACGUGUCGAUCCAAAUCCAAUAAGCAUUCACUUCGCGUCUGCACGGUCUUAUUUUUAACAUAAAUUUGUAUCACAUUUCGGUCGCAUGCGGACACAAAGCGGACGCUUUUUUGUGUUUGGGUUGUUUGUGUUCGGACUGAUUCAUUUAUCAUUCAUCCACCCAUUUCUAUUUAUUUAAUACGUUGGCUCAUCUUCAUCCAUCUCUCUUCUAUUAUUUUAUUGCCGUCUACUUGCUUUUCGUUGGAUGCAUUGAGUGACCCAUUUAAACUAGCGGACAUAGAUAGACGGGCGGCCGACACAAGGAAACAAAUAGUGGACAAAAGUGUUGUUUGUUUGGGUUGGCUCGUUGGAGUUGCUCUUAUAAUCCAAAACAAGACAAGUAUCACACAACUAGAUAGCCAAUAAGCUUGUGCUUGAAACCUGCUGACGAAGGAUUACAUACGUAGAAAUCAGAGAACAAGGAACUCACAAGUUGUUUUGUAACCAAAGUUUAGUUGUUUCUAAACAGUCCAGCAAAUUGUUUAAAAAAAAGGUAGUUACAAAUAAACAAUCUGGUAGUUGCUUUGAACAAUUUGGUAAUUGCUUACAGAAAAAAUGGUAAGUAUUUUUUAACAUAAUGCAGUAACUGUGUAAAAGAUUUUUUGGAAAUUGCUUUCUAAACAACCUGGCAACUGUAUCAAAACAAUCAUGUAAAUGCCUGUGAAAAAUGUGGCAGUUGUAUGAAAAUAAUGUGGUUGUUGUAAAUGUGGCAAAUAAGCAGAAUGUAAUGGCAAGUGGUGCGGUUAAAACUUCAAUAUGGCAAAUAAGGACAAUAAAUCCGACAAGUAGGAGCGGCAAUUCACAUGGUUAAAUUGUUAAUAUGACAAGUAAGCACAAUAAAUCCGACAAGUAAGUAUAAUGGCUAUUAACAUGGUUAAAUUGUUAAUAUGACAAGUAAGCAUAAUAAAUCCGACAAGUAUAGUGACAAUUGACCGUUAAACCGUUAAUAUGGCAAGUGGGCAUAAUAAAUCCGACAAGUAAGUGUAACAUGGUUUAAUGUUUAAUUUGGCAAGGUUAAAUGUUUAAUAUGGCAAGUAAGCAUAAUAAAUCUGUCAAGUAAGUAUAGUGUCAAGUGGCAUGGUUACAUUUUUAAUAUGGCAAGUAAACAUAAUAAAUUUGACGAGUAUAGUGGUAUGUAAGCGGCACACAUAACUUUUAAUAUGGCAAGCAAGCAAAAUAAAUCCGAUAAGUAAUAGUAAUGACAAGUGGCACAAUUAAACUAUAAUAUGACAAGUAAGCAUAAUAAAUCCGACAUGUAAAUAUAGUGGCCAAUGACACAGCUAAACCAUUUUUUAGGAUUUUAAACUAUUAGUAUUGCAAGCAAGUAUAGUGAUUUGACAAAUCAGUACUAUGACAAGUGGGUAAAAUAUGAAAGCAUGGUUGAAUAUGUUAAUACUACACACAGGUGUGGAUCGCUCUACUCAAGUACUUCCUCCGUUUCAAAAUUUUGUCUUAGGUUUGUCCAGAAACGAAUGAAUCAAAAUACUAAAACAUGACUAGAUACAUUCAUAUCUAAACAAAUCUAAGACAAGAAUUUUGGGAUGGAGGAAAUAAUAAUUUAAACAUUCUUAUAUUAUUUAAAAGAAAGUAUUUACUAUGCACCCGCUGCUCAUGGAUCACUAGCAUUUGACAUGACUGGUCAUUCGUAGACAUGAGACAUGACUUGUCAUUAUCGCGUACAAUAAACAUGCAUUUUUAAUUUUCAUAGCUACACUUUGCUUUUUGACUAGGAUGGGAAGAUUCCUUGCAAAGCUGCAUCCAUCGAGGAGGGUGUGCCACGUUCGGUAAUCACAUAUCGUGCAUGCACUGCCUAUCGGGCCGAGCAUUCCACAUUGCAUGAUUAUUGUCCGGUAAGAGCAUCUCUAGCAUAUCCCGUAUAAUGCGGAUCCGUAAAAACCGUUUACAGUUCGCGAAAAACGAGUUUUGUAGGUCGGUGCAGGUGCGGACAAAGACAGACCCUUAAAACGGACCCGUAUAAAAGCAUAUUCGCAGAAGAUGUUACUAUAUGGGUUUUCAAUGCGGGGUCUGCUUGGGCGCCACCCUAUCGACCCGCAAACCUAAUACCCCGUAAAUCAGAAUUACUCAUCAUGUGUAAAAUAUGUAGAAUGUCAAUAUUACAAAUAGAGUAAUCAUUUAAAGUACAAUAAUUAUUCAAAUCAUCGUAGCAAACUAAAUGAAUGUCACACAUGAAUACAAAACUUGUCCCGUACACAAAUUACACAUGAAUGAAAUGAAAAUGAAUGGAUAAAUGAAUGGAAAAUGGAAUGUUACUAUUCCCCAGCCCUUUGCCAAUGGUGCUCAAUGAUAUCCUUCUGAAGUUGAUAGUGGGUGUUUGCAUUUUCAAUCUUCCUGUAGUUCUGAAGAAAAGCUGUGAUUCGGUUACAGUCUCUAGCUGAUUUGACACGGCUCCCCACAUUGUCAUAGAAGAACUUUAAGUUCAUGCCUCUCUCAUCUUCGCAAAUCAUAUUGUGAAGAAUAACACAUCAUGUCAUGAUGUUUUUAAGGAUCGCUUGUCCCAAAAUCGAGCAGGACUACGAACAAUGGCAAACCUAGAUUGCAAAACCCUAAAUGCUCUUUCAAUGUCUUUUCGGGCUGCAUCUUGUGCCCUUGCGAAUUCAGACUCUUUCCUACUUUGGGGUCUUUGAUGCUCUUCACAAAUGUGCGCCAAGAAGGGUAUAUACCAUCUGCAAGAUAGUAUCCUUUUGUGUAUUCAUGCCCAUUGUUAGUGUACUUGCAAGCUGGAGCAUCACAACUAGCAAGUCUAGCAAGCAAAUGAGACCGUUGCAACACAUUGAUAUCAUUUAGAGUACCUGGCAUACAAAAAAAUGCCAAAUCCAUAAAUCAUGUGAAGCUACGGCCUCUAGCACAAUUGUUGCAUCACGAGACUUGCCAUAAUACAUUCCCUACCAUGCUUUUGGGCAAUUUUUUCAAGUCCAAUGCAUACAAUCUAUGCUUCCUAGCAUGCGAGGCCAACCUCUUCUUUCGUUAAAUGCCAUCAAUUUUUUUGUAUCUUCCUCGUUCGAUGCCCGAAGAUAUUAAUAUUGAGGACGAAAGACAUGGGUAAUCACUAUGGCUAACCUACACCGACUCAAUUGUACCAUCUUCCCCAAUGCGAAGGUACUCGUCGGUAUAGUCAGCCGGAACGCCAUAUGAAAUUACCCGCAUAGUUGCCGAGAUUUUAUGAUAUGCACUAAAUCCCUUCAAGCCCGCGACAUUCCUUCUUUGAGUAAAAUAUCAACAAUUCGCCUCGCAAGCUUCAACAAUUUUAACAAAGAGGGAUUUGCGCAUACGAUACCUUCUCCGGAAGAGGUGCGUGUUGGAAAUAUGCCCAAAAGGCAAUAAUAAAGUGGUUAUUAUUGUAUUUCCAAGUUCAUGAUAAUUGUCUGUUAUUCAUGCUAUAAUUGUAUUAAUCGAAAACCGUAAUACAUGUGUGAAUAUAUAGAUCACAAUGUGUCCCUAAUGAGCCUCUAGUUGGCUAGCUCGUUGAUCAAUAGAUGAUCAUGGUUUCCUAAUCAUGGACAUUGUAUGUCAUUGAUAACGGGAUCACAUCAUUGGGGAAUGAUGUGAUGGACAAGACCCAAUCCUAAGCAUAGCACUAGAUCGUGUUGUUCGUCUGCUAAAGCUUUUCUAAUGUCAAGUAUCAUUUCCUUAAAACCAUGCGGUUGUGCAAUUCCCGGAUACCGUAGGAGUGCUUUGGGUGUAUCAAACGUCACAACGUAACUGGGUGAUUAUAAAGGUUCACUACAAGUAUCUCCGAAAGUGUCUGUUGGGUUGUACGAAUCGAGACUGGGAUUUGUCACUCUGUGCGACGGAGAGGUAUCUCUGGGUCCACUCGGUAAUCCAUCAUAAUAAUGAGCUCAAUGUGACUAAGGAGUUAGCCACGAUAUGAUGUGUUACGGAACGAGUAAAGAGACUUGCCGGCAACGAGAUUGAACAAGGUAUAGAGAUACUAACGAUCGAAUCUCGGGCAAGUAUCAUACUGGUAGACAAAGGGAAUUGCAUACGAGAUUUAUUGAAUCCCCGACAUCGUGGUUCAUCCGAUGAGAUCAUCGUGGAACAUGAGGGAACCAACAUGGAGAUCCAGACUCCGCUGUUGGUUAUUGACCAGAGAGGUUUCUCGGUCAUGUCUCAAUGGCUCCCGAACCCGUAGGGUCUACACACUUAAGGUUCGAUGACGCUAGGGUUAUAUGGGCAUAGUAUACGUGGUUACCGAAGGUUGUUCGGAGUCCCGGAUGAGAUCCUAGACAUUAUGAGGAGCUCCGGAAUGGUUCGGAGGUAAAUAUUCAUAUAUAGGAAGUGAGGAUUUGGUCGCCGGAAGUGUUUCGGGAAUCACCGCUAAUGUACCGGGACCACUAGGAGGGUUCCGGGGGUCCACCGGGAAGGGCCACCAGCCCCGACGGGGUACAUGGGCCAAAAGUGGAUGGGAACCAGCCCCUAAGUGGGCUGGUGCGCCACCACCAUCAGCCUAAGGCGCAAGAGAGGGAGGGUGGGCUAACCCUAGGCGUGGUGGGCUUGCCUUGGGUUGCAAGCCACCCUAGGGCGCCACCUCCUCCACUGUUGGCCGCCGCCCCCUUGCCCAUCUAGGGCUGCCGCACCACCUAGGGUGGAAACCCUAGGGGUGGGCACCCUCCUCCCGCUCCUCCUAUAUAUAGUGGAUGGUUUUGGGGCUGCACACAACACAAUUGCCUCUCUCCACGACGCAGCCAUACUCCUCCUCCUCGUCCUCGUCCUCCGUAGAGCUUGGCGGAGCCAUGUAGGAGUACCACGCAGCUCCACCGUCACCACGCCAUCGAGCUGCCGGAGCUCUCCCUCAACCUCUCCUCCCUCCUUGCUGGAUCAAGGCGUUGGAGACGUCACCGGGUUGCACGUGUUUUGAACGUGGAGGCUCCGUUGUUCGGCGCUUAGAUCGGAAUCCACCGUGAUCUGAAUCGCUAUGAGUACGACUCCAUCAACCGCGUUCUAGUAACGCUUCCGCUUAGCAAUCUUCAAAGGUAUGAAGAUGCUCUGCCCCUUUGCUCGUUGCUGGUUUCUCCUAGAUAGAUCCUUGUGUGAUGUAGGAUUUUUUUGAAAUUACUACGUUCCCCAACAGCGGCAUCCGAGCUAGGUUCUAUGCGUGGAUUCUAUGCACGACUAGAACACAAAAGUUGUGGGCACUGAUUUUGUCAAUUGCUUGUUGUACUAGUCUUAUCUUGAUUCGGCAGCAUCGUGGGACGAAACGGCCCGGACCGACUUUACACGCACUCUUACGUGAGACUGGUUCCACCGACCGACAUGCACUUGUUGCAUAAGGUGGCUAGCGGGUGUCUGUCUCUCCCACUUUAGUCGGAUCAGAUUCGAUGAAGAGAGUCCUUAUGAAGGGUAAAUAGCAUUGGCAUAUCAACGUUGUGGCUGUCACGUAGGUAAGAAGCGUGCUUGCUAGUAACCCAAAUCAGCCACGUAAAACUUGCAACAACAAUUAGAGGACGUCUAACUUGUUUUUGCAGGGUAUGCUAUGUGAUGUGAUAUGACCAAAAGGAUGUGAUGUUACAUAUGUGAUGUAUGAGAUUGAUCAUGUUCUUGUAAUAGGAUUCACGACUUGCAUGUCGAUGAGUAUGACAACCAACAAGAGACAUAGGAGUUGUCUUAAUUUAUUGUAUGAGAUGCAAUGCCAUGUGAUUACUUUACUUUAUUGCUAACCGUUAGCUAUAGUAGUAGAAGUAAUAGUUGGCGAGACGACUUCGUGAUGACACAAUGAUGGAGAUCAUGGUGUAAGAUGAUAUUGGCCAUAUCAUGUCACUAUAUGAUCGUGAUGUUUAUCAUGUUUUUUUUAUCUUAUUACUUAGAACGACGGUAGCAAAGAUAAGAUGAUCCCUCAUUAAAACUUCGAGACAUGUAUUCCCCUAAGUGUGCACCGCGAAGGAUCGUUGUCUCAAAGCACCAAGUGAUGAUCGGGUGUGAUAGAUUCUAACGUUCGCAUACAACGGGUGUAAGCCAGUUUACACAUGCAAAACACGUAGGUUGACUCGACGAGCCUAGCAUGUACAGACAUGGCCUCGGGAUACAGGAGACCGAAAGGUCGAACAUGAGUCGUAUGGAUGAUAUGAUCAACAUGGAGAUGCUCACUGUUAAUGACUAGUCCGUCUCACAUGAUGAUCAGACACGGGCUAGUCGACGUGGAUCAUGUAACACUUGGAUGACUAGAGGGAUGUCAAUCUAAGUGGGAGUUCAUUAUAUAAUUUGAUUAGAUGAACUUAAUUAUCAUGAACUUAGUCUAAAAUUGUCUUUACAAAUAUUGUAGAUCCAAUGGCCAACACAAAUGUCUCAUUCAACUUCAACGCGUUUCUAGAGAAAACCAAGCUGAAAGAUGAUGGGAGCAAGUAUGCGGACUGGGCUCGUAACUUAAAGCUCAUCCUCACUGCUUCCAAGAAGGCAUAUGUACUUAAUGCGCUGCUAGGUGACCCUCCCGUUCCCGCGGCAACCCAGGACGUUAGGAACACCUGGCAGUCGCAGAGUGAUGACUACUCUCUGGUUCAGUGCGGCAUGGUUUACAGUUUAGAACCGGGGCUCCAAAGGCGUUUUGAGCAACACAUAGCAUAUGAGAUGUUCGAGGAGCUGAAACUAGUUUUCAAGCUCAUGCCCGGGUCGAGAGAUAUGAGGUCUCCGACAAGUUCUUUAGCUGUAAGAUGGAGGAGAAUAGAUCUAUCAGAGAGCACAUACUCAGAAUGUCUGGGUUGCACAACCACUUGACUCAGCUGGGAGUUGAACUUCCGGAUCAUGCGGUCAUUGACAUAAUCCUCCAGUUGCUUCCACCUAGCUAUAAGGGCUUUGUGAUGAAUUACAACAUGCAAGGGAUGGAGAAGACCAUUCCCGAGUAGUAUUCAAUGCUGAAAUAUGCAGAGGUGGAAAUCAGGAAAGAACAUCAAGUGUUGAUGAUGAAUAAGACCACCGGUUUCAAGAAAGUCAAGGGUAAAAAGAACUUCAAGAAAGAGGGCAAAGCAGUUGCGCGCCCGGUAAACCAGUUGCCAGGAAGAAGCCAAAGAAAGGACCCAAGCCUGAGAGUGAGUGUUAUUAUUGCAAGGGGACCAAGCACUCGAAGCGGAACUGCCCCAAGUACUUAGCUGAUAAGAAGGCCGUCAAUGUCAAAGGUAUAUAUGAUAUACAUGUUAUUGAUUUGUACCUUACCAGUGCUCGUAGUAGCUCCUGGGUAUUUGAUACCGCUGCUGUUGCUCACAUCUGCAACUCAAAACAGGAACUGCGGAACAAGCGUAGGCUGACAAAGGACGAGGUGACGAUGCGCGUCGGGAAUGGUUCCAAGGUCGAUGUGGUCCGCUGUCGGCACGCUCCUUCGGGAUUAGUUUUAAACCUUAAUAAUUUUUACUUAGUACCAGCUUUGAGCAUGAACAUUGUAUCGAGAUCUCGCUUAAUGCAAGAUGGCUACUCAUUUAAAUCUGAGAAUAAUGGUUGUUCUAUUUAUAUGAGUGGUAUGUUUUAUGGUCAUGCCCCACUGGUCAAUGGUUUAUUCUUGAUGAAUCUCGAUCGUUAUGUUACACAUAUUCAUAGUGUGAGUACCAAAAGAUGUAAGGUUGAUAAUGAUAGUCCCACAUACUUGUGGCACUGCCGCCUUGGUCAUAUCAGUGUCAAGCGCAUGAAGAAACUCCAUACAGAUGGACUUUUGGAGUCUCUUGAUUUUGAAUCAUUUGACACGUGCGAACCGUGCCUCAUGGGCAAGAUGACCAAGACUCCGUUCUCUUGGAGCGAGCGACCAACUUGUUGGAAAUAAUACAUACCGAUGUAUGCGGUCCGAUGAGCGUUGAAGCUUGCGGUGGCUAUCGUUAUGUUCUCACCCUCACUGAUGAUUUAAGUAGAUAUGGGUAUGUCUACUUAAUGAAGCACUAGUCUGAAACCUUUGAAAGGUUCAAGGAAUUUCAGAGUGAGGUAGAGAAUCAAUGUGGCAAGAAAAUAAAGUUCCUACAAUCUGAUCGUGGAGGAGAAUAUUUGAGUCACGAGUUUGGCACGCACCUAAGGAAAUGUGGAAUAGUUUCACAACUCACGCGGCCUGGCACACCGCAGCGUAACGGUGUGUCUGAACGUCUUAAUCACACUUUAUUGGAUAUGGUGUGAUCUAUGAUGCCACUUACUGAUUUACCGCUAUCAUUUUGGGGAUAUGCAUUGGAAACUGCCGCAUUCACUUUAAAUAGGGCAUCGUCUAAAUCCGUUGAGAUGUCACCAUAUGAAUUAUGGUUUGGCAAGAAACCUAAGCUGUCGUUUCUGAAAGUUUGGGGCUGCGAUGCUUAUGUGAAGAAACUUCAACCCGAGAAGCUCGAACCCAAAGCGGAAAAAUGUGUCUUCAUAGGAUACCCUAAAGAAACUAUUGGGUACACCUUCUAUCUUAGAUUCGAAGGCAGGAUCUUUUGUUGCCAAGAACGAAUCCUUUCUAGAGAAAGAGUUUCUCUCGAAAGAAGUAAGUGGGAGGAAAAUAGAACUUGAUGAGGAAAUUGUACCUCCUCUCGAACUGGAGAGUAGCGCAACAAAAGAAAAUGUUUUUGAGGUACCUGCACCGGCUAGAGAAGAAGUUAAUGACGAUGAUCAUGAAACUUCAGAUCAAGUUGCUAUUGAACCUCGAAGGUCCACAAGGACACGUUCCGCACCAGAAUGGUACGACAACCCUAUCACGGAAAUCAUGUUGUUGGACAACAGUGAACCUUCGAACUAUGAAGAAGCGAUGGCGGGCCCGGAUUCCAACAAAUGGCUUGAAUCCAUGAAAUCCGAGAUAUGAUCCAUGUAUGAGAACAAAGUAUGGACUUUGGUGGACUUGCCCGAUGAUCGGCGAGCCAUAGAAAAUAAAUGGAUCUUUAAGAAGAAGACUGACGCGGAUGGUAAUGUGACCAUCUAUAAGGCUCGACUUGUCGCUAAUGGUUAUCGACAAGUUCAAGGGAUUGACUAUGAUGAGACCUUCUCACCUAUAGCGAUUAUGAAGUCGGUCCGAAUCAUGUUAGCAGUUGCCGCAUUUUAUGAUUAUGAAAUCUGGCAAAUGGACGUUAAAAUGACAUUCCUGAACGGCUUUCUUAAGGAAGAAUUGUAUAUGAUACAACCAGAAGGUUUUGUCGAUCCUAGCAAUGCUAACAAGGUAUGCAAGCUCCAGCUCUCCAUCUAUGGGCUGGUGCAAGCAUCUCGGAGUUGUAACAUUCGCUUCGAUGAGGUGAUCAAAGCAUUUGGGUUUGUACAGACUUAUGGAGAAGCCUGUAUUUACAAGAAAGUGAGUGUGAGCUUUGUAGCAUUUCUCAUAUUAUAUGUGGAUUACAUAUUGUUGAUGGGAAAUGAUAUAUAACUAUUGGAAAACAUAAAGACCUAUUUGAAUAAGAGUUUUUCAAUGAAGGACCUUGGAGAAGCUGCUUACAUAUUAGGCAUCAAGAUCUAUAGAGAUAUAUCUAGAUGCCUCGUAGGUCUUUCACAAAGCACAUACCUUGACAAGAUAUUGAAGAAGUUCAAUAUGGAUAAGGCUAAGAAGGGGUUCCUUCCUGUAUUACAAGGUGUGAGGUUGAGUACGACUCAACGCCCGACCAUGGUAGAAGAUAGAUAAAAGAUGAGUACCGUCCCCUAUGCUUCAGCCAUAGGCUCUAUUAUGUAUGCCAUGUUGUGUACCAGACCUGAUGUGAACCUUGCCGUAAGUUUGGUAGAGAGGUACCAAAGUGAUCCACGAGUGGAUCACUGGACAGCGGCCAAGAACAUCCUUAAGUACCCGAAAAGGACCAAAGAUAUGUUUCUUGUUUAUGGAGGUGCCGAAGAGCUCGUCGUAAAGGGUUACGUCGAUGCUAGCUUCGACACAGAUCCGGAUGACUCCAAGUCACAAACCGGAUACGUAUAUAUUUUGAAUAAUGGGGCAGUCAGCUGUUGCAGUUGCAAGCAAAGCAUCCUGGCGGCAUCUACAUGUGAAGCAGAGUACAUAGAUGCUUCGGAAGCAGCACGGGAAGGAGUCUGGAUGAAGGAGUUCAUCACCGACCUAGGAGUGAUUUCCAGUGCACGGGCCCGAUGACUCUGUUCUGUGACAACACUGGAGUUAUUGCCAUUGCAUAGGAGCCGAGGUUUCACAAGAAGACCAAGCACAUCAAGCGCCGCUUCAACUCCAUUCAUGGAUACAUCCAUGAUGGAGAUAUAGAUAUUUGUAAAGUACAUACGGAUCUAAAUGUUGUAGAUCCGUUGACUAAACCUCUUUCACGAGCGAAGCAUGAUGAACACCAGAACUCUAUGGGUGUUCGAUUCAUCACAAUGUAACUAGAUUAUUGACUCUAGUGCAAGUGGGAGACUGUUGGUAAUCUGCCCUAGAGGCAAUAAUAAAGUGGUUAUUAUUAUAUUUCCUAGUUCAUGAUAAUUGUCUAUUAUUCAUGCUAUAAUUGUAUUAACCGGAAACCGUAAUACAUGUGUGAAUAUAUAGAUCACAAUGUGUCCCUAGUGAGCCUCUAGUUGGCUAGCUCGUUGAUCAAUAGAUGAUCAUGGUUUCCUGAUCAUGGACAUUGUAUGUCAUUGAUAGUGGGAUCACAUCAUUAAGAGAAUGAUGUGAUGGACAAGACCCAAUCCUAAGCAUAGCGCUAGAUCGUAUUGUUUGUCUCCUAAAGCUUUUCUAAUGUCAAGUAUCAUUUCCUUAGACCAUGAGAUUGUGCAACUCCCGGAUACCAUAGGAGUGCUUUGGGUGUAUCAAACGUCACAACGUAACCGGGUGACCAUAAAGGUGCACUACACGUAUCUCCAAAAGUGUGUGUUGGGUUGGUACGAAUCGAGACUGGGAUUUGUCACUUCGUGUGACGAAGAGGUAUCUCUGGGCACACUCGGUAGAACAUCAUCAUAAUGAGCUCAAUGUGACUAAGGAGUUAGCCACGGGAUGAUGUGUUACGGAACGAGUAAAGAGACUUGCCAGCAACGAGAUUGAACAAGGUAUAGGGAUACCGAUGAUCGAAUCUUAGGCAAGCAUCAUACCGGUAGACAAAGGGAAUUGCAUACGAGAUUGAUUGAAUCCCCGACAUCGUGGUUCAUCCGAUGAGAUCAUCGUGGAACAUCCGGGAACCAACAUGGAUAUCCAGACCCGUUGUUGGUUAUUGACCGGAGAGGUGUCCCGGUCAUGUUUCAUGGUUCCCAAACCCGUAGGGUCUACACACUUAAGGUUCGAUGACGCUAGGGUUAUAUGGGAAUAGUAUACGUGGUUAUCGAAGGUUGUUUGGAGUCCCGAAUGAGAUCCGGGACGUCACGAGGAGCUCCGGAAUGGUCCGGAGGUAAAGAUUUAUAUAUAGGAAGUGAGGAUUUGGUCGCCAGAAGUGUUUCGGGAAUGACCGGUAAUGUACCAGGACCACCGGAAGGGUUCCGGGGGUCCACCGGGAAGGGCCACCAGCCCCAAAGGGGUACAUGGGACAAAAGUGGAUGGGAACCAGCCCCUAAGUGGGCUAGUGCGCCACCACCAUCAGCCGAAGGCGCAAGAGAGGGAGGGUGAGCUAACCCUAGGCAUGGUGGGCUUGCCUUGGGUGGCAAGCCACCCUAGGGCGCCACCUCCUCCACCCUUGGCCACCGCCCCUUGCCGAUCUAGGGCUACCGCACCACCUAGGGUGCAAACCCUAGGGUGGGCACCCUCCUCCCUCUCCUCCUAUAUAUAGUGGAGGUUUUUGGGGCUGCACACAACACAAUUGCCUCUCUCCACGGCGCAGCCCCACUCAUCCUCCUCCUCCUCGUCCUACGUAUAGCUUGGCGAAGCCUUGCCGGAGUACCACGCAUCUCCACCGUCACCACGCCGUCGUGCUGCCGGAGCUCUCCCUCAACCUCUCCUCCAUCCUUGCUGGAUCAAGGAGUUGGAGACGUCACUAGGCUGCACGUGUGUUGAACGCGGAGGCGCCUUUGUUCGGUGCUUAGAUCGGAAUCCACCGCAAUCUGAAUUGCUACGACUACGACUCCAUCAACCGCGUUCUAGUAACGCUUCUGCUUAGCGAUCUUGAAAGGUAUGAAGAUUCUCUACCCCUUUGCUCGUUGCUGGUUUCUCCUAGAUAGAUCCUUGUGUGACAUAGGAUUUUUUUUGAAAUUACUACAUACCACAACAGUGCGGCGGGUAUGUUGGAUUGGCGGCGAAGUAGUCUCGCAUCAGCAUCUCGUUGCCGAGAUGGAGAUUUCUAGGAAUGCAAAGACGACCGACAGUUGAUCCACGCUGCCUCUUUCGGUUUUCGUCUUCGUGCUCCUUCACGGCAAGGGUCAUCACCAAGCUCUCCUGGCGAAAUGUGAGAAGCGUGCUCUCAACAUCCGAGUCAUCCGAAGAGGAUGAAUCCUCAAGCAGAAACUUCUCGCACAGGCUCAAGUCCAUCUCCGGCGGUGGCUCUCCCGCCGCCGUGGAUUGGCUGAUCCGGGGGAGCAGGUGCAACGGCUUGGCGAAAGAGGGCAGCGGCGCACCAUCGACGCGAUUCGCCCCAAAGAUUCGGCUGAAAGCCCCCCAGAGCCGGCGACGGACAGGGGAGCCAAUGACGGUGCGACGACGGAAGGGGGUGGGGAAAGGGAGCAGGCUGAAAUGUCAAUCCACCAACCGUUUCCCUACGAUACAGGGCACCGUAUAGACGAGACGGAAACCUAUGUUUUCGCGGGUCGGCUAGGGGAUUUUGCCGCGCCCCUCAAAAAAUUUACGGGUCGAACGCGUUUGCGGGGUCUGGUCUGGCAGCAUUUCGCGCCCCGACCCUUAUUUUGGCGGUUAUUUUGCGGGUCGGGGCAUUAUACGGGGUUUGCUAGAGAUGCUCUAAGGCUACUCAUAGUGAAGAGUAUCAUAUAGUAGUAUCAUGCAUAUGAUACUUUUGUAUAAUACUACCUUCAUAGUGCAUAGUAUUAUAAACUAUUAUCAUAGAUGACCUCAUUUAUUGACAUGCAUGACACAUAGUAGCAUAACAUUUAACAUGAUACGUUAUCUAUCUAUGUUACUUUAAUCCCCUCUCUCUCUCUCUUCUUUAAUUAUCUGCCACAUCAGCAUACUUGCUAGUUCCAAUUACAUGAUACUACCUAGGUUACUCCCACUAUGGCCAGCCUAACGGUUGGCUUAUCCGCCGCACGGAGCGCCCAUAUGCGACGCCGCUGCGUAGUGACGUCUUUUGAUGUUUGUUUAGUGGAGUGCACACCGGAUAUGCUCCCUUUGUUUUUAAAUAUAAGCAUUUCAUUACAAGACUACAUGCAGAUGUAUAUAGACGUAUUUUAGAUUAUAUAUUCACUUAUUUUGUUUUGUACGUAGUCUUCAAAUAAAACUUCUAGAAAGACUUAUAUUUACGAACGGAGGGAGUAGAAUGCAUGGGACGCUUUUCUGCUGUAAUUUUGUUGUGUGUAAAAGUUUGUGACAAGAGCACGAAAGGCAAUUAAUACAAGAAAAAUAGAGGCUAAUAUUUGUUCUUCCUGCAAAAAAUAAAAUAAAAAUAAUUGUUCUGCUGUAACUCUGCGGCGUGUAAAAGUUUUAUGAUUUUUCUGUUCACCAGGGCAGAUGAGCCCGGGAGUAGAUAUGUCGGGUGUAAGGUCUGUGUUGGCCUUGGGCCAUGUAUCAGGUGUGGUGUUAGUGUUGUUCUGGCUGGAUGCCUAGACUCCGUUGGUGUGCGCUGUGUUCUGUGCUCUGUAGGGGUGCCUGUUAAGGGAAAAUACCCUUUGGAACAUGGUGGUAAUUCCACCUGAUAACUGAUUUUAUUUUAAAAUAUUUCAGAAAAAGUCAUAACGUUCCAAAACCUUUUCCCAACAAACUUGAGCUGUUGUUUCUGUCGUACAAAAAUACUUUGUGACGAAAUAUUCAAUGACAAAAAUGACAAAUUGCCUAGGACAUAUAGCGUCAACAGGUAUAUAGUGACAAAUCUGUUCUUUUACGUCCACAGCAACAUGGAAGUCAUUUCUUUGCGAAAGAUUUAUACGAGUGCAACAAUAAAUCUACUUUGUCCGCAAAAGGUUUCAGUUUUUUUGACUUUCUUACAAAUUACCAUUUCCCUUAAAUUCAGGUGUAACUACACGUGAUAGCCAAACUUUCCCGUCCGCCUACAAAGGCGUUAUCGUUAUUCUAGUGUUGCAAAGUUGUGGACAAAGUUACUACUGCUUUGGUUGCUUGUGUUCGAUGGCCAUGCUCUAGGAUGCUUCUCGUUAUAUUAUGUUAAAAACCUGGGCAUUUUCGUGCCCGGACAGGUUUCAAAAAGUCCGACCCAAAAGCCCAAGCCCUGGCCCGGCCUACGGCGCGGCAAAAUGCCAAUUUAUCGUGUUUUAAAAUAUAAAUAUAGCUAUUUGUUGGGAUUAGUACUAUAACAAUGUACCUAUAUUUAUAUAAAAUGCCUAAAAGCAAUGUUUUACCGGGCUGCACGCUGGAAAGCGAGGCCCAAUCCUGGCCCGAAUGUCGAGCUUCGGGCCGGACCACUCCAUGCCCAGGUUUAGUUAGAACAACCAAUCAAUUUCUCGAGUUUGAACGUUAGGGGUCUCAACUGCCCGGACCGUCACUCUAUGGUCCAUGCUACUAUCGCCUUUUCAUCUUGUCAUGUGGUGUGCCUCCAAGAGGCAAAGCUUGACAACGUCAAUCAUGUCAUGUGCCUCCAGGAGACAAAGCUUGACAAUGUCAAUCAGUUCACGACCACCUUCUUGGGUGGGUGUAGGUUGCAUAGCUUCACGAAAUGGCCGACAAAUGGUACAUUGGUACUAGGGGAGGAAUCUUGCUACUUUGGGAUGAUCCCUUGGUUGAGGUAUCCAACAUCAACAAUACAUUGUACUUCCUUUCCGCCAUGGUCUGUGCGAGAGAGAUUGACGUGCUCAACAAGAUCACAUCCGUUUGCGGCCCCAUUGACUCCUAUUGCAAAGACACUUUCUUUGUCAAGCUUCUAAGCCAGAAGGUGCCUUUAGGGAUGGCUUGGCUUGCCUACCGAGAUUUCAAUCACAUUUACCGAGCAAGAGAAAAGAACAAGAAAAAUGUUAACCAUAAUAGGAUCAAUUUUUUCAGGGCAACGCUUCAUAGCUGUGAACUGAAAGAAAUCCACCUUAAAAACCGGAGGUUCACUUGGAGCAAUGAGAGGGAAAACCCAACCUUGUGCAAGCACAACUCUUUCUUUUGCAAUGCCGAGUGGGAUACAACUUUUAGCAUCCAUGUUCUUCGUGCACUUUCAUCCUUCCUCUUUGACCAUUGCCCGAUUUUGCUUGCCGUUGAUAAGGGACCGAGAAGGCCUCGCGCUUUUAAAUUCGAGAAGUUUUGGGCAUACAUGCUUGAUUUCAACAAGGAGGUCCAAAGGGUGUGGAACAAGCGGGUGGAUCACACCAAGCCCUAUCAAAUCCUUUUCAACAAGCUCAAGAAGAUGACGAUUCACAUCUACGAAUGGAGUAGGGCCUUAUCUCCAAGAAAAAAAUACUCAUCGCCAAGCCGCUCUUUUGGUGUUUCUUUGCCUUGAUAUCGUCUAAGAGGAUAGGCUUAUCUCUACCGAGGAGCAUGAGCUAUGAUCUAGGCUCAAGAGAAGGGUCAUUGCAUUUGUUGUGCUUGAGAGAUUGCGCAAGAAAAAUGUGCUAGAACCUCCAACCUUAAAGAAGGUGAUGCCAACACAAAAAAUCCACCAUUGGGUUAACGCACGGAGGAUAAAAAACUAAUAUUCAUAGAAUCAAGAACGAGCGUGGGUGGGUUUUCGAGCAUGAAGCCAAAGAGAAACUAAUUUAAGACCACCCCUUCCAUGUCAUGAACAAUGGAUCUAAAAUCUCCAAAUAUUUCAACUCGGAGGAUCUCAACCUGAAACCCCUUGAGUUGCAUGGCCUUGACUCCCAUGACCGAGAGUGAGAUUCUUAAAGUGAUCACUCACAUGCCAAGUGAUAAGGCCCCAAGACAGGAUGGCUUCACUAACCUCUUCUUCAAGAAGUGUUGGGACAUUGUCAAGCAUGACAUCGGGUCAUUGUUCAUUUUGACUCCCUCCACGAUUCAAACCUCUAGUGGCUCAACUCCGCGAAUGUGGUGCUGUUGCCAAAAAAGGAAGGUGCGGAGGGAAACGCUCACUAUAGACCAAUUAGCCUCAUCCAUGUGAUAGUGAAGGUGCUCUCCAUUAGUUCUGGUCCACGCAAGACAACUCUCGUCUCCAAUACCCAAAGCUCUUUGAUCAAAACGAGAAGUAUCCACGACAACCUCACAUAUGUUUACAAUCUUGUACGGUGCCUUCACAAGAGCACGACCACAUCCCUCCUUUUCAAGCUAGAUAUUUGCAAGAAUUGUGACUCGGUAAAAUGGGAGUACAUGCUUGAUCUCGUCCAAUGGCGAGGAUUUUCAAACAAAUUUAAGGCUUGGAUCGCGGUCCUCCUUAGUUCCUCAUCCUUGAGGAUCAUUCCUAACGGUAUUGCUGGCAACCCGAUCAAGCAUGUGCGUGGCUUUUGGGAAGGGGAUCCCCUUUCCCCGCUGCUCUUCGUCAUUUCCAUUGACGGGUCGCUUCAAAGAAUCCUCAACGUGGCCGCGAGAAAGGGUACCAUGACUUUCAGUGCUAAAACCCACGGACCUGGGUAGGGGGUCCCGAGCUAUAGGUCUUGGAUCAAUGGUAACAUGGUACGAAAGGAGACGAUCUUUACCCAAAUUCGGACCCUCUCGAAGUGGUAAAACCCUACAUUUUUGCUUUGAUUAUAUUGAUGUGAUGGAGCAUCAAGUACAAAAUGAUCUACCUCGAGAUCAUAUUAUAGUGUUCUAAACCCUAAGGCGAGUAAUUAUGUUUCAAAAGACUAAACCCCUUUGCUUAUAUAUGCACGGGGGUGCCUAGGCUACACGCAUGGUCGGUUGUAGAUCUGUCGGCUAUAGAGUAAUCCUUGUAGUACACGCCAAGGCUUUGUGGGUGUCCAUCUUGAUCACGUUGAGAUUCAUAGCUUUGAGAUCCCUUCCUGGUUUUGAUACGACCGUUGUAAUAUACUAGCAAAAUGGCCCGUGCGUUGCAACAGAAGAAAGAAAACAUAAUCUUCGAUGAUGAUGACCACAUUAUGUUCACACAUCAUCGCUUGAUUUUGAAAUUUUGUGCACAAAUGCAAGAAAAUGUUUCUUAUUUUAAAUUUAUUCACAAGUUGAAGCAAUAUUUACAUUUAAAAAAUAUAUCAUUGUUGUCAAAAAUCUUGGUAACUCAAAGAAUUAUUCUUAAUUUCAAGAAUUGUUUUUAGAAAACAUACAAUAAUAAUCCGAUCCAUCCAAUAGUUAAUUCUUCAAAAAUCACACGGGUAUAUUUUCACAAAGACUUAGAAGCAUUAAUGUUUAACUAUGUAGAUCUUUCAUAAACAAUUUUACAAAUAUGAGAACAAUUUUAAAAUCAUGGACAUUUUUUACAAUUUACAAACAUUUACUAAAAAUCAUGAAUAUUUUUUAUAUUUCAAACGGGUUUAAAUAUUUUCUUUUGAAUUGGCCAACCUCAUAUCAACAGUUUAGCAUACAUCAUUGUAUAUUGAUUGGUUAUUAUGCACGAUGGAAAAUAUGAUGACUAUGUACAUAUUGUAACCUUUAACAUAUGGUAGCUAGUAGGAAUCAACAUCCGCUAUAGUGUCAACUCUAUCUUUUGUGAGAGCAUUAAACUGUUAUAUCUACUCAAGUUAAAUGUGACAAGAAACAUGUGCAACAGGCAUUUUCAAAAUAACCAAUAUAGAAAAAGGUAUUAAUUAAUAUUGCACAAUAAGCUUCAUGUCCGUGCGUUGCAAUGGAAAAAAAAUCACCCCCUUAUAUAUAUUGGACGAUAUUUGUAAAUCCUUUGACAACAAACAACAUGAUAAAUAAUGUGUUACAUAAAAAUGUAAUGACUGUAUGAUUUUUUUAGUGUACUCAAUGUGUUUUUAAAAAUAUUUAUGGGCACGAUUUAAAUAAAUAUGAAGGUCAAUAUUAAUUCACUUGUUUACAUAAACCUCAUAUCAACAGUUUAGCAUACAUCAUUGCAUAUUGAUUGGUUAUUAUGCACGAUGAAAAAUAUGAUGACUAUGUACAUAUUGUAACCUUUAGCAUAUGGUAGCUAGUAGGAAUCAACACCCGCUAUAGUGUCAACUCUAUCUUUUGUGAGAGCAUUAAACUGUUAAAUCUACUCAAGUUAAAUGGGACAAGAAACAUGUGUAAUAGGCAUUUCCAAAAUAAUCAAUAUAGAGAAGAUAUUAAUUAAUAUUGCAUAAUAAGCUUUAUUGUGGAAAGUAACAUGCAAAGUAAUAGCAUAUUUGAAAUCUUCACUUUUUUCUGAGCGAUUUUCAUAUAUAACAUGUUAGAUUUGGAGUUAGGAUUUAAAAUAUAUGAAUGUUUUAAAAGCAUUUGGACUUACACAAAAAAUGAAGCAAUAGGAAAGGGAAAACAGGAAAGUAACAUGCAAAAUAAUAGCAUAUUUGAAAUCUUCGCUUUUUUCUGAGCGAUUUUCAUAUAUAACAUGUUAGAUUUGGAGUUAGGAUUUAAAGGAUAUGAAUGUUUUAAAAGCAUUUGAAUUUACACAAAAAAUGAAGCAACAGGAAAGGAAAAACAGGAAAGUAACAUGCAAAAUAAUAGCAUAUUUGAAAUCUUCACUUUUUUCUGAGCGAUUUUCAUAUAUAACAUGUUAGAUUUGGAGUUAGGAUUUAAAAGAUAUGAAUGUUUUAAAAGCAUUUGAAUUUACACAAAAAAUGAAGCAAUAGGAAAGGAAAAACAAGCCAGCACUGGAGUUGAACUCAGGUCUCCUAGUGGUGCAGCAAGCCGUCGGUGCGUCUGUCACUGGGCUAGGUAGAUGACUUUGUUGAAACAGAGGUGACAAUUUAUAUAUACCAGAUUAAAUCAAUCGUUUUUCGUUUUCUCCACUUAAAAAAAAAGUGCGGGUUGAAUACAUAAAAUGUCAGGGGCUUUUUUGCAAAACUGCCUCGACGGACGACAGAAGCGCUGCACGCUUUAUUAUUAGGGGAGAAAUACAAAGGUUGUCGAUGUUUCGCGAGAAGCCAUGGAGCACCUACGACCAAGUUAUGAAGAUGAGAGUAGACUAGUUAGUACUUACAUGCACGCUGAUUCAUUGCAUCUAUUGGUAUAGGUCAAGCAAAAAAAAAUGUGCAGACUUAGGAUCUGGUGAGAUUUAUUUCAGGAUUUGACAUACGUACAACAGUGCAAGAAAUAAAGAGACAACAUCAGAUGAAAGCCAACCUAGAUUGCUAUUUCGUUUCAUUUGUAGCAGGCAAAAUUCACUCGGUGCAUGCAACCAAGAAUUAUGACUAUUUAAUUGGAGAUAUAGUGAUAAAGGCGAGGGUCUCAAUUUUUCUAUAAGAUGAUAACUAUCGAUUUGGUGUAGACGACUUUGAAGAUCUGACUACAAAUGUGUACGUCAUUGUGCCUUAGCAAUCGCUAAACUAACUCCAAGAGGAUAUUGACCACACCGGAGCAUGAUCAACCUGACCACGAAGGUCUAAUCCUGCAUGCAAUCGAAGAACAAGCAAGAAUAUAAUAAAGCAAUCUGAAUAUUGCGAAUAUAGAUGAAGUAUUGAUAAAGGUGGGGAUCUGAAAGUGGUCUUGGUCUAGUUAUUGGACACAAAUGAUGUAUACGAAGUUGCAAUGGCUAACUUUUAACUAAAUAUAUGCCGCCCUAAUGAUUAUAUAUAUGGGGAAUAGAUGAGGAUUCUGUGACCCCUUAGACCUUGUUUGGUUUGUUGAAAUUUAAAAGGGGUUGAAGGGGAUUGAAAGAGAUUAAAUACCUUACAAGUUAAAAUUCAUCUUAAUCUCCUCCAAUCCACUUCAAUCCACUUGUGGGAGGGAUUAACCAAACAAGCCCUUAGAGGAGGUGAUGAGGUUACCUACUAAGUGUAGGGUGUAACAACCCGAAACCGACGCUUCAGAAGAUUCCCCUUUUAUUCCGUUGACGUCAUGUGAUUUAUUUGGUUGUCGUAUUCACCAUUGCAUCAUGCGCAUCAUCUGCAUUGCAUCAGUGCUCCGUCACUGCGAGUUUUGAAAAACUUGCAUCCGUUGUUAGUUGCCUGUUCUCUCCGUUCUUGUCGUUGACCGUUUCGAGACCAACCACACACGCACACGCCCGCGACAUAGUUAAGAAUUGUUUUUAAAGGUGUGUAUAAAACUUCUUAUGAUUGGGUUGAAACUUGGCGUGCAGUCUUAUUAUUGGGUAGGUAGGUCAUGUCCCAAAUUUCAUUGCAAUUGAAGUCUGUUUGAUACCCGAACAGUCGAUCAUAGCGGCGCCGUCAUUGGUUUAGUCGUCGGACGUUUCGAUGUUUUAAAACGCGUGUCACGGACCACAAACUCCCUCUCAUCUCAACACACUACCACUCUACACAACCCACAGCCCACAGAACCUAACACACGAUUGGAGCCGUCCGAUCACGAUCGAACGACUCGAAUCGUGUUAAAAAAAGAUAGCCCUAGACCGCCUACUAUAAAUAGCAAGCCUCAAUUUCCGCGCCUACCCACCCUACGCCGCUGCCAGCGUCGCCCCUAGCCAAUCGGGCUCCGCCAUGUCGCCUCCAACAGCCCCCCACCAUAGUCCGCCUAGUCCCGGAUCUGGCCCGCGAAGCCCGAAUCGCCGCCGUGGCUCACCCGCAUGCCCGCGCGCCCUGCGUGCUCCCACAGGCAUGCCUCCCGUGCGCCGUGGAGCUGCCCCUGCCUCGAGCCGUCCGGAGCUCAGCUGCCCGCCGGACCAGCAGAUCGGUGCCCCGUGCCCCGCCGUCGUCUCCCUUUUAUUCUUCCUCUCCCCUCUCCCUAAUCCCGGUCUCCCUCUUGGUGUGCAGAUCCCGCCAUGGCCGCCCAGUGCCUCGCCGGCGCGCCGCUCGCCCUGUCGUGCUCGGAUCCGGUCAGGAGCCGCCAUAUCCGGCGGAUUCUCGCCAUGCCGCGCCCAUCCCGGCCUUCCCCGCACCGGGUCCACUCCGCCCUCGCCGCCCCUCGCUACCGUUGACCAGCCACCGCCACACGUGUUCGUCUGCGUGGAGACGAGCGAGCGCCCAUGCCGCUCGCUGCAGCGGUUGGCCCAGCCGCUCCCGCUGGCCUGCUCCCCGCGCCAGCCUCCAGCCGCGUGGCCCCGCCUCUCGCAAGGCCCAACCACCCGAUCCGCCGGCCAUCUUGCCUCCACCGACCUAGGCUCGAGGCCAGCAAUGUGAGAAGCUGCCCGCUAUGCCUCGCCUUGUGCGCCUUUUAGUUAUCCCGUACUCAAAGUUUCGGCAUGUGUGUAGAUUUGUUUCCUAUUGAAAAUUUAUCCAUUUCCCCGGUCAUUUAAUGAAUUAUAGAAAAUGCAUCAUUUUAAAACGCAAAUAACUCUUUAACCGAUGAAAAUAUUUUAGACAUAUAAAAUAUAUAGAAUUUUGUGUAAAUUAAUAAUUUCCCACUUGCACACAUGGUAAAAAGUAUAUUUAACGUGAUGUUUGCAUUGUUUUGUGUGAUUUCAUAUUAAAAUGAAUUAAUUCAUAGCAAAAUAACCGUGCAUCGGUUUUGAAAAGUUCAUACAUGAAAAAUGCUUAAAACUUUGUGUAAUUUCACAUUAUCCAACUUUUAACCGUGUUUAAAAUAAUUAACUUGCUAUUUUCAUGUAAUUUGCAUUAUGCCAUGCUAAAAUGGUUCUUAUCAUAACUAGUUAACCGUAGCAACGAUUAAAAUGUUCCACAUACGUAACUUGGCUAAAAAAAAUGUAGAACAACAUGAUGAUAUUUAUUUUGCUGUUUAACAACUUCAAAAAUUGUGUUAUAGGCAGAACAAUAUCAAAUCUUAAUUUGUAUAUGGGGACUUUCCGGAAUUGUUGUUCGUUGUUCCGGCCUCAUUUAAACUUACCUUGAACUCCAAGUAGGUCCUUAAUAUCUCGUUGCAUCCAUGAUUUAACAUGUUGUGGUUCUCAUUUGCAUACAUUUUUCAUUCAUGACAUAUUAUGUGUGUUGCUCAUAUCUUUUAAAACGUAACUCCGUUUUAGGUGAUCUAUAUAUGUAAAUCGACGAGAAUGACGUGUAGAAUCCCAUGGUCCACUUUAUUUUUCUACUUAACAAAUAUAAAAUGUGUUUAGUACAGAUCUGGAUCAAUUUCAAAAUUCACAUAUGGGGUCAUUUUGGAAAUGCUAUAUGUUGUUUCGACCUUAUUUAAAAUACCUAGAGAGUGUAAUUUAUUUAUGCUUCACCUCUUGCCUUGUUUAACAACAUUUAAUGUUGAUGGAUACCUAAACGGGAGUGAACUGAGUAAUUCAAAUAUGGAGUUUCGAAAAUAUGCAACUCGUUGCAUAUCGAGCUUUAUCUAAUGUGUAGUAAUUGAUUGUUGUGAUUUUCCAUGCCAUGCAUAAUUAAACCAUACAUGCAUCAUUUGUGCCUGUGCAUCAUGUCAAGCAUAUGUUGUGGUGAAUAAUCUGUGUUAAUUCUUGUUUCCGGAUUGCUUCUUUUCGAUAGAGUUCCAGAAGCAUUUCAGAAUGUGAGGAUUUGUUCGACUACGUUAGUUCGUCUGCUUCACAGAUUCGUCCUUCUUCCAAGCGAGAUCGCAUGCAAGAUGGCCAUUUCCAUCGAUACCAUUACUAUCAUUGCCAUGCUAGUUGUCUCGUUCCUUUCGCUAUGUCUCGUUGCCUACCACUUAAAUGUCAGCCUCCCAACAUUGCCAUGAAAAGCCUCUAAUCAUUCCACAACCCAGCAAACCCUUGUUUGGCUAUGUUACCGCUUUCUCAGCCCUUCUUAUGGCGUUGCUAGUUGCAGGUGAAUUGUUUUCCAUGUGAAAACAUGGGUUCCUUGUUAUAUCAUCAUAUUAUUGCUAUUUAAUUUAAUGCACCUAUAUACCUGGUAAAAGGCGGAAGGCUUGUCCUUUUGGCUAGGUGUUUUGUUCCUCUUUUGCCGCCUUAGUUUCGGCUACCGGUGUUAAGUUCCAUAUUGAGCGCUCCUAACAUGCUUGGGGUUGUUAUGUGGACCCCAUUGAUUUUUGUUCUGGGAUAAAACUCUUCUGGCAAGUCCCAACAUUGAUACUACAUUCGCCUAAUAACUAAUGAACUGUAUAGGGAGUAAUUAACCCAUGGAUAAUUAAUCAACCCCUGGGACAAUGCUCCUCAUGAGUGUUGGUCCAACACAGAGCAGCUUAUUAAUGCUCCUAGAGCAAUUCAGUGUUUUGGGGUGGUAACCAUCGCUCAUCCAUCAUGUCCUGAGAACGAGUUACACGGCUCCUAUCGGGAUCGUCGACACGUCGGGCGGCCUUGUUGGUUUUGUUUUACCUUUCUCGAACGUCUUGUGCGAGGGAUUCCGCGAAUACUUUGGGUUUUCUCGAGGUUGAGGUUAUCCACCAGGAAUUCGAGGAGAUCACGGGUUUUCUGUAGUCGAGGUUUCCGACGAAGCGUGUGGUAGUUUGUGAUGGACUAGUUGGAGCACCCCGUGAUUAAAUCUUUAUGAGAGCUGUGCCCGCGAUUAUGUGGCAUCUUGGAAACUUUGUUUAACAUAUAGUUCUAAUAACUUAAAGUAAACUUAAAUAAAACUUGCCAACUGUGUGCAUAACCAUGACUGUCUCUUCUCGUGAAUUCUACAUCUGGAAGAGGACACAGUGGGGUUAUGUUUAACGUAAGUAGGAGUUCAGGGUCACUUUGAGAUCAUUAUUAGUUCACGUCUGUUAUGCGUAGACCACCGCCUCUUAUUCUCGUCCUCGUAAGUUAGGCACUCAAAUAAAUGCUUAGAUGCUUGUUGCAGCCUCACCACUUAACCAUAGCUCACCCAUUAAGCUUUGCUAGUCUUGAUACCUUUGGAAAUGAGAUUGCCGAGUCCCCGUGGCUCACAAAUUACUACAACAACAAUUACAGGUACAUGUAAAGCGAUACUUUGACGCAAGCGAGAUGAUUGUGUUAUUUGGAGUUUCUUCUUCUUCUUCUUCAUCGAUCCAGGAUGGGUUCUAGGCCGACCACCUGGGAUAGCAAGGAUAGACAUCGUUCUUUUAUUGUUUUUUUCGUCCGUAGUUGGACCCUGCUCUUCUACAUGGUGUUUGGAUAUAUUUUUGUAUUGUGUUGUUCAUGUUGUACCUUGUGGCGAGUGUAAGCCAAUUCCAUAUACUAAUCUCUUGUGUACAUGUACUUGUAACGAUAUCCAUUCUUGCAAGAUGACGAGAUGCACUUUUAUCCCUGUUGAGGCCGUGAAAGCACAAUUGCUCCCUAGGGUGGUUUUGAUAAUUGAUCAGAACAUAUGCAUCAUUGGACUAAUAUGUUCAUCCAAGUAUAUUUCAGAAAAGUUCAAAAGAUGCUUUGGCUAAAGUCUUAUGUGGAGAUGCCCCUUGAUGCAAGAAAGGAAUAAGAUUGGCCCAAGCUUCAAGCUAGAAGACUCUUUAUUUAAUAUUUGUGAGAAAUCACUUUUGAGUCCAUAGGAAAGCCAAUACUAUUAAAAGGGGACAGGUAUUAAAAUGAACUGGUUGCUCAAGUGCUCAGAGAUAGCCACCAAAAUACCCAGUCCUUUUUUGCGCAUAACCAUUCUGUCCAAAUUCGGUGCCACCAAGUUUUCAGAUUCGACAC
rnacentral:lncRNA from 1 species